rnacentral:lncRNA from 1 species
AAGGUAGACCUGGCCUAUCCUCCCACUGCAACGAUUGGACGUUGCUUGUGUUGAUUACCCCGAUGCACUCUCGCCCUUGUAAUUGUCAACAAAAUCUUAUUCCAUUUCUCCUACAGCGACUAUCGAAGCUUCAAUUGGUUUUGGAAUGGCAAUGGCAUAUUCUAUUAUUGAGAUUUCAUACUUCCAAUGCUCCACUUCAAGCUCAAACCUUUUUGGGCAUUAGGUAUUCGAUCUGCUAAUACAAAUUCUCGCAAAAAGAAAAUGGCUCUAGUAUUCCCCAUAUACAUCUAUUCCAACGAAUCCACCAUGAUGGUCGUUGAAACCAUGCAUGUACCAAAAGCUUUGAUAGUCAGUUUUGUGCCUGUCACCAAAGACCACCACUCUAAUACUAGUCGCCCACCAUUCCAGAACCAAUUUCCUACCUUGACCCUAACAGUUUCUUGUCUCGAUGCUUGUUCGAAGUGCAUGGUGCGAGAGAAGGAUUGACAUCCACUCUAGCACAAAUCUUCUACCUCUCUUCCACUCGUUCAAAAAACAUUUUUGUAUCAGUUGGGGGUAUGGGGUAUGGUUGAACGAAUCACCAAAUAUACCAACUAGACAUCUCGAGAGGAAUUGUUGAACGUCGUUGUCGGUCCCUGACCUGACGUUCAACACGUUAUCAAUUAUCGAAGUUGGGUGAUCCACCAUCUCCGUCCAGUGAGAAACCAUAGUCGUAUCAGCAUAUAAUCUCGUCUAUUUGAUAUUAGUCUUUUUGAAUCAUAGUUGUAUCAACAUAUAAUCUCGUCUAUGUGAUAUUUGUCCUUUUGAAUCAGUUUGUUGUAAGUUUGUCAAGAAAAUGUAAAAUUUGCAGCUACAUCUCUCAAUCCCAAGUUGUAAUCUGGCUCCGGGAUGAUAACUGUCGGAUUCCUAUCUCCCAGUCAAGCUUCACUUCGAGUGAAUCGACCAUAAAUGUUAUAGUUUAGAUAGACUGUUUAUACGUAUGCUUGCAUCUUUCUCCCCCAUUGUCUAUAAAAGUCCAUGUUCCUUUUGAUGCUUGUUUGAGAGCAUCACAGACUCACCGGAGGUUUUCCUCGUCUAUCCUGAAUUUGAAGGAGAACCUUCUACUUCUUUCAAUUAUAAGAAACCACCCAUUACCGGAGUCUAACUAAUUUGAAAGGGUUUUCAACUGAGAGGGAGAUCUUGUUCCAUGAGAACCAAAGUAGGCUUGAUAGGUUAUCGGAAAAAAAAUCUCUCCGCCGCAUGUUUUGAAGAGAGAAAUUUUGGGAUCCUAUCCAAGUCAGAGAGAAUUCCCUAACACGUGGUUUCUUUUACAUAUUAAAAAGUUGCUCAAACAAUAAAUUGUUCAUUGUAUGAACAUUGACUAUCAGAGAGAAUUCCCUAACACGUGGUUUCUUUUACAUAUUAAAAAGUUGCUCAAACAAUAAAAUGUUCAUCGUAUGAGCAUUGACUAUAUUCUACCAAUUUUAGAAGCAUUCAGAGUGAGGUCAUAAACAUAACAUACAAAUGAAAAUAUUUGAUGGGCUUAUGGAACAGCUUCCAAUCUGCUCAAGCAAAUUGCAUACCUCAAAUUAUGUGGCCGCUCAGCUUUCCCACUCUUUCUUAUUCGUCAAUCAUCAUGGAUAACAAAAGAUAGGAAUUUAGAUAUGACCAAUAGAUACCUAAGCUUCUGAGCACGCAAAACUAGUUAGAACCAACAAUUUGAAGAAAUUGUACUAUGUGACUUAGGAGAUUUCACCAGUUAAUCUCUAUUACUCUCUAUGUCCUGGAGAAGGAGACACACUAACUAGGAAAAGGGAUGUUGAAGUAAUGAAGACCAGCAAGGAUGAGGAUAAGUACUGAAAUUAAUGAAAAUACAAGAAUGGAAACUGCCAGUAUACCUUUUUGGCAGGUGUUCAAUGCCCCAUUCAAAUAUUCUGUAACUCCCAAAUGUAUCAGGAAGACGAACACGAGUUUCAGCCAACCGAUGUAUUAUUUCCUGCAAACAGAUAUGAUGAAUAAACAAAACUUGUUCAUGUCAAGCAAUAAUCUGCAAGAUUGUGGAAUUCGGAAUCACCGUUGCAGCAGCGCUUGACAUAUAAUUUGCAGAUCCUGCUGGAAAGAUAGCCCAUUUAACAAGGGAAUCAUUUCCUUUCGUUGAGAAAUUCAUUAAGUGAACCUGCAAGGUAUCUCACAAUAUGUAGAGCAGCAUCACAUAGGAUAAGUCAAAACACAAGAGCAGUUAAGUAACAUUAAUAAAACUGAAGCAUUCAGCUUAAGAGGAGAUAAAAUCAGACAAAUUUGUGUUUGGCCAAAAUUAUCGUUCUAAAACCAAAAUACCUGUGAGAUGUUAAUGUCCAACUCUUGGGCAAUGAGAUGGGUAAGCUCUGUAAUGCGAGGCUUCAAGUCUGAGUAAUUCACACUCAAUGACAUAUAAAAUGUAAUGAAUCCAACUUUAAUUUCCCCUGCAAAUUGAGAUAUAUGAUGAAUACGCAAUGGAAACAACAAACUAUAAUUGCCAAUAUAUACGCACUAGAUGCUUUAACAUGAAAGAAAAGCUGUAAUUAACAGAGGAAGUGCCUAGGUUUCAAACCAUCAUGUCAUUUCAUAAACAUCACAUUACAAAAGAAGUCAAAAGAGACACCUGUCUCAUAAAUAAUCAAGAAUUUGACCAAGAUCCUAGUGCAGAUAUCACCUAGUGAAGGGAAUUCGUCAAUAUCAGCUAGUCCAGGGAAUUUAGAUGGUUGGCAAAAAGGUUGAUACAUGUCCUAUUGGUGGCAAUUGUUAUUCUUGAAAUCGUUAGUCCCCUCAAGUCCCGCUUUAACCAGAGCUAUUUUCCAGUUCAAUCAUGUUAACAACGUCAUGACAUUAUAAUAUUUCUUAAGCCUUAAGGUGGUUCUCAGUAAGUUGGAUGCUCGAUCACAAGCAGUGUUAUCAAAGGCGAAAAGCGCAAAAACUCUCUAAGAUCCGUUGGGGCUUUAAGCACAAAGCGCAAAUAAAGCGUGGCUUUAAUGAAAAAAGCGCAAAUGGGAAAAAAGUAAAAAUAUACAUGUAGUCCAAGACUAAUCAUUACAAACAUAAAUAAUAAAUAUAUGGACAAAGAAAUUUAAAAAAAAAUCACAAUAAAGUGAAAUACCAAUUGUCUAAGGUCACCUUUUCAGGAUUACACUCAUUGGCAAGGAAAAGUAUGUCUUAGAGCUUUGACGCGACACUAAAGCGCCCACAAAGCGAGGCGAAGUUUUGAGCCUCGCUUCAGGGCUUAAGCGCGCCUUUGACAACACUGAUCACAGGACAAUUAUAUCGGUCAACGAAUAUGCAAACUCAUGGUCAAAUGUCAACAUAUAUGCUGACAUUGGUCAAUAAGAGAAUUACAGAGCUAACAUGUAUAACAGCAAUAGAGCUACAACCAAAUGUUGUGAUUCAAAGUUGAUUCAACAUUUUCGCAAAACAAACCAGAAACCAAAAUGGAUUAAGAUGGAGGAGAAACGUAAUAAGUCUUCAAAUGGAUUAAUUUUUAGAAAAAAAAAGAUCAAGAACUCCCUAGUAGAAAAACAAAAGCUACGAUUAACGGGCAUCUUAAAGGAUGGUUAAAGAUGGUAGUAUACUAUACCAGGUGCAUUAUACCCAGGAGAUGCACUAGGAACCAGUGUAGGGGCCCUACUUCCUGUGGAGUUUGUUUUAUCCAAGCCAGAGGGCAAUGCUGGAGGUGGGGGAGAUGAAUUAAGUCGGCCCCAUAAUUCGGAACAGUUCGUUUUCCAGAAACCGACCGUUUCAUGCUCACGAUCAUAAGUGACAAGUGUGUUGCGGACAAUAAUCCCUGUGCGGUUAAAGCAUGCAUGUGACAACACGUACAACCAGGAAUAGCUUGGAAAAUAGUCCUUCCAUAAUGCUAACAGAUUUUAAAAAAGAAAUACCUCCAAGAAGAGUAGUUGCAUCCUUCCCAUUCUGAAAAAUCCCCAGACAAUAAGCACCAUGCACCUUUGAAUGCUUCAUAUCACAGAAGAUCGAGGGACGAAAUGGGGGAAAUCAGUCAAUACAAAACAUUCAAAAGAAAUUGGAAUCAUUAGGAGACCAACACCAGAAGAGGUCUUUUUGUUUGUUUUUUUUUUCUCAAGGUAGUUAAAAAACAAGGAGUGAGAUGCCUACCCGGAACAAGUAGUUUUCAGGGGACAGAGAGAGUUUCUUUCCAUUUGCAAAUACCAUGUCGACCGGCGGAAAGGCUUUCGAGAGUUGUGAAAUGUCACUGAAAUAUACAUGAAACUUUGAUACUUCUAGAAAUGCCAAGCUAAAAGGGGAAAAAUGCAAAAUGAUCUAAGAAGUGAUAUAUAUUACCUUCCUGCACCAGAAAAGCAGAUAUCUUUGUAAUUUGGAUCAGGCCCUUCAAUCUGUUUUAGAGAAUGAACCGCUUUCAUAACCUGAGAAAAAGAUUGCCAGAAGUUCAUUGCAGAGAGAAAAGCUUUUUCUGAUUACACCAUUUUUAACAAAAUCCAUUACCCACUAGUUAUUAGUAACACAUUGUAUUACUGCACAAACCAUCGAUCAUUUUUUAAUGCAAAGGAAUAACCACUAGUUAUUAAUACACAUUGUAUUACCUCACAAACCAUCGAUCAUUUUAUACUGCAAAGGAAUAGAAGUCGAUAAACUAUAAACAUCAAAGGUUUGCAGUAACUCCACAAAAAAGUUCAUAUAUAUAUCUCCUUCUUUUUUAGAGAAAAGAAGUGUGUAUGUAUCAAACAAGUUUUCCAAUUUCUCUCCAACAUUCCUGGAGAAUAUCGCAUGGUGCUUAGUUAAAUUCAAUAAUUAACAAGAAAAUCAACAGCCGUUAGUGGUUAAGCAACACCCAGUACAAUCAGUGGUUAAGCAAUGUAAAAUGAGUAGUCCAUUAAGAUGCUGCACCUUAUGGAAAAUGUUAAGUGGUGGAGUUGUAGGAUGACAAAUUCCUUUUUUCCCUUCAAACUUGUGUAGUAGGUAUUGAAGCCUUAUUCGAAGUGUGAUUAAGAGGUUUUAGGUCCAAGUCCCCACAGAGAACAGAGUAUUCAAGUUGGUUCUUGUCACACUAGCAUGUGGUAAUUUAUUCCACCAAUCAAUAGCAUAAAUAGUACUUAGAUAACAGUCCAAAGAAAUAAAAGGAGGACUUCUGCAAUCAAAAGGGCAUUAACACUGACACAUACUCUCUCCGUUUAAGAAGAAUGGACCUAUUACUAUUUUUUUUAAACGGAGAGAGUAUGUGUCAGUGUUAAUGCCCUUUUGAUUGCAGAAGUCCUCCUUUUAUUUCUUUGGACUGUUAUCUAAGUACUAUUUAUGCUAUUGAUUGGUGGAAUAAAUUACCACAUGCUAGUGUGACAAGAACCAACUGUUAACUAUUAUGACUUAUAGUACUUUUUAUGUAGUUGUUAAAUAGGUAAAUUUUAUUUCAAAAAACUUAAAGAAUCUAUGUCCGAAUUCACACCGAGAAUUAAAGAAUUAGUCAAUUUGAUGCUCAUACUCCGAAAAGGUUCAAACAAAUUGAAAUCAAGGGAGUAAUAGAAAUAAAACUCAAUUUUCCCAGAUUUAAUUUCCCAGGAUAUUCUGCUCGUCACAAGCGAGCUACUUUCCACUACUCUUCGCAGGCAGAAUGCAAGACAAAGAUGACAGAAAUGAUAGCAAGAAAUUAAAAGAAAAUUAAUCUUACAGCAUUCUUGAAAGCUGCAAAUGCUGCUUCUGGAAGGUAAGCAUAUGUGGUACCACUAUCAAGCACAGUCCCAUGAUUUCCAUCAAAAAUCCGUGGAUUCAGAUUCAGUGCCUUCCCAGCAACAUGCAUCUCCUUUAGCUCAAUAUUGUAAUAUGGACUGUUGCCAUCCGAGACUAGAGUAAAUGCGUAAGUUUAUCAAGUGCAUUUGUUAGGAGACACCUAACAUUCCUAUGUCUUUAAAGCAAUUAUUUCAAAUACUUACCUGCGUACAGGAUCCGAAUUGGUAAAGACCAUGUCUUCAGGGGGUUUUAUUCCACCAAGAACCAUUGCGCCGCCACCGAAGUCCAUCCCUCCAUAACACAAAGAGAAGGAAUCACUAAUUACAUGUUUCUCAACAAGCUGAUCCACGCACCGCCACCAAAGUCCAUCCCUCCGUAACACAAAGAGAAGGAAUCACUAAUUACAUGUUUCUCAACAAGCUGAUCCACUAUACCGAGAUCCCCGCGACCCAAGCCCAUUAUACCAUCAGCGUGUUGGCUGUAAAGAUCACCAGUUUCCCUAUUUUCACAUCCAAAAACAGCUCUCUGGGGUGCAAGCUCACUUUGGUUUCCAAAGGACACAAUGUCCUCUCCAAGCACCCCGCUACUAGAACUCAUCUCAGCAUACUGUCUUUCGUAAAUGCAUUGCUCCCUCUCAUUGUCACAUGUACAGUCAAUAUUACAUUUUACAGGUUGAUAUGUGCUUGAGCUGGGGUGCAAGCUCACUAAGGUUUCCAAAGGACACGAUGUCCUCUCCGAGCACCCCGCUACUAGAACUCAUCUCAGCAUACUGUCUUUCAUAAAUGCAUUGCUCCCUCUCGUCGUCACAUGUACAGUCAAUAUUACAUUUUACAGGUUGAUAUGUGCUUGACAUUUCUGGCUGAAAUCUAGGAUCCUAAAUAAGACAAUAUUCAGAGACUUGAGAAAAUGAUAGAAACCAAAAUGCAAUAGAAUUUAAGUGGUGAAUUUAAAAAGUUUUUUCAACUAUAUAUGCCACCAGUGUGUAAUCUUAUUGGCUACAAACUUAUCAAGAUAAGUAAUUGGUUUUAUUUAAUUAUUAUUACAGGUCAAAUAAGCAAUAUGCCUCAUCCAAAACCAGUGUUUUUGAGAGCGCGAAGCACAAAAAGCGAAGGGGCUCGCCUCGCUUCAAAAGUGAAGCGCAAAGCAAAGCGUGCUUCAUUGAAGUGAAGCACAAUUCUUAAAAUACAUAUAAUAUAUAUAAUAAAAUAUAUAAUAAUUAAUUUAUAAACUGAAAUACACAUUAAAAAUCAAAUAAACUAAAAUAUAACAUAUAUAUAAUAUUAAUUUUCUAAACUGAAAUAAUAAAAUUAAUCAAACUGAAUAUAUAACAUAUGUAUAAUAAUUAAUUUUAUAAACUGAAAUGCACAUUAAAAAAAUGAAAUAAACUAAAAUAUAACAUAUAUAUAUAUAUAAUGAAUUUUCUAAAAUGAAACACAUAAAAUUAAUCAAAUAAACUGAAAAUAUAACAUAUAUAUAAUAAUUAAUUUUAUAUACUGAAAUAUACACUAAAAAAAUAAAACAAAACUGAAAAAUAUAACAUAUAUAAAUAAUGGAAGAAAUAAGGAAAAGGAAGAAGAUUCAAACCAGCGCUGGUCUCCAGCAACUGGUCAGAACUCAGAAGAAAAAAGAAAGAAUAAGGAAGAAGAAGAAGGAAGAAAGAAGGAAAAAGGAAGAAAAGAUAGGAGCAUUUGGACGGGAACAAGAAGAAGAAAGAAAGAAGAAAGAAAAAAAUGAGAAGAAGAAAAAAACCUAGAAACCCUAGUUUUGUCGAUGAAGAAGAGAGAUUGGGUCUCUAUUUUGUCGAGCAAUUACAGAAACAAGCUUAGGGGUCUAUAAUUUACAAAUAGACCCAAUCUUUUUUUAAAAAAAAAGGGCCCAGAUGCGAUUUUUUAACAGAAGCGUUCGCUUUAUCGCUCCUAUCACUUCAUCGCUUUGUCGAGUUUUCCACUGAAGUGUGUGCUUCAGAAGGUCGAGUCACCUCUCUCUGGGAAAAGCGAUGCAUUGUCGCUUCGCGCUUAAAGCGACGAAGCGAUCGCUUUUCCAAACUCUGUGCAAAACAUCAUGCGACAAAUCAUCCUUCCAAUGAUUUCUAUAGCUCAGCAACAAUGAGAGUGUUAGAAAUAUUAUUUUUGUUUCAUAAGUACAAGCUUAGAAACUAAAAAAAUUCCCGACUUCACCUCUAGGCUGUUUAAUCCUUCAAUUUUUCCUUCUCCUUAUGAUAAUUCAAAUUACUUAUCAUAGUAAGAUUUUUAACAUUGAACGUCGAUCUACAACAACCGUCCUUUUCAAUCCAAGCUUGGGACCAACAACAACAACAACAAUACCUCAGGCCCAAACAAGUUGGGUCAGCUAAGCUUGGGACUGGUUAUACUUUGCAAAGAUAUUGUCAAUACAAGGAUAAGUGUGAUGUUUAGAGAAUCCUUAAUUUUCCCUAAAAGACAAAUUACUUAGUACUAAAAUAGUAUGGGCUUAAAUAAAGCAGGAAAUAUACAAAAAGAUUGAUAUAGCCCAGUGUUAUCAAAUGCCCAUUUGAGGUGCGCUCAAAAAAGCUAAGGGUAUGCACUUCGCCUCACCUAGGUUGUGCUCCAAUGUAGGCAAAGCACAAAGGUGUGCGCCUCAUUUCCCAUAAGUUCUAUCUUGAAUAGAGCAAUACAAAACAAUAAUGAUGGGCAAAAGAAUAUAUUCAUUAAUAAGGAAAUCAUUAUAAAUGAAAUUGUUACCUAUUUCUUGCAUUACAUAUAUAUUCUUAUUUUUUUCUUCCUUGCGUCUUUUUUAACUAAAGGCCACACUUAAAUUGCUCUUUUUGCUUAAAGCCCCGAUGGACUUAGAGCGUUUUUUAAUGUUUUUCGCCUUUGACGACACAAAUAUAGCCAAUCUUAACUAGUUUAGGAUUAAGGAAUAUGUGAUAUAUAUUCUUGGUAAUGAGAUGCAUUUAAAAUGCCUAGAUAAAGAUAGAACCGUGUUUUACCAGACAUAGAAAUUUGGUGUGCUAAGGCACCUACCUAAAAGAACAGCAAUUAACACUCAAGGAACCACUUGGGUGCUAUUCUCACUGGAGAGAUUUUGAGUAGAAGGGAUAGCAAUGAUCUUUUCUUUCUUGGCUGCACAAUGGACAACAGAUGUCAUAUGCUCCAAUUCUUGACUGGGCCAUGCCAACUUCGAUUACGUAACUUUUGCUAAGGUGGGUCAUAAGGCAGAGGGUAAGAUUUAUGGAAACUGACACCCUUUUCUCCAUUUUGUGUAUGUUUAAGGAGAGAAACAAAAGAUCAAUAGAAGGAUUAUCAAUUGAAUUUCACAAAUAUAAGAAACAUUGUUAUUUUUCAUAUUUUCAACAAGUCCAGUAUAGGAAAUAUCUUUAGUCAACCUUUUUUUUGUAGCUGAAAGCCUGAAAUAGAAACUCCACUCGCAUCAUUUUGUUUGCUGAUACUUUUGUGUAACUUCACAGUUAUAUAGUGCUAGCCUUAGUCCCCCAGUCGUUUUUGUUCGCCCUUGUAACUGGUGGUGCCUUCUUAAUACAUUUGCUACCUUACCAACAAUGUAAUUACGCUACAUGUUUUUUAAAUAGAAAUCCAUCUAAUAAGAGGUGCAACAAUUCCUUUUUUAACACCAAAAAAACACAAAAAUGCAAACCCAAUUCCUUGCUAAUUGACCAGCAUUUCCCCGCAACAAAAAAGCAAUAUCCAAGCUAAUAUUAUUUCUUUAUGCAUUUUUAGUAUUCUAAUGAAAGCAAAGCAUAAUAUAUCUGAGGGUUUAAAUGUUCUAUAGUUCCUAUAAUCCACAUUAUGGAAUGAUACAAGUGUUCAUCAAAUACUCACAUGAGAUUAAGCUUGUUCUUGAAAAGCAACAUCUCUUUCCCUUAUAAAAAUAACCGAUGAACCUUAUACUAACACAGUUCAUGAAUUUACUCAUUUUUCUACCACAUCAAGAUCUUCACGUUUCUGAAGCAACACGAAUAAAACAGCUUGUAUUAAUUUUUAUUUAUUUCGUAUUGAGCUACUAGCGGUGGGAAAAUACAUAAAACUACAAAGUAUUAAUAUCAUUAAUAUCCUGAAAGGUAAAAAAGAAAACAAAUUCAAAAAUGUGCCCACCUGAUGCUUGCCGCAUUGUUUGCACGUUAUACACGGGACAUAUGUAACAGUACUCCCAGUAUCCACUAUAAGAGCAAACCUCUGGGAAGGAGUUCCAAUCCAAAGACGGGUUGUAUAAUAUCUGCAUCAAAGUAAUUUGCAAUCACUAGACGACUAAAAAGUAAAAAAACCUCUUAGGGAAUGUAUUGGCAUUCCAUAUAAGUAAAGUAACCUAUUUUCUUUACGAAUAACUCUAACUCUUACUCCACUCGUUUCAAUUAAGACAUAAAAUUCCAAAUAUCCAAAUACUCUAAAGACCAUUCGACACCUAGUUUUAUGUCCAAGCAAACAUUUGAAAAUGAUCUAGAAAAUGAUUUUACGAAGUAAAACAUUUUCAGAUCCAAGACAUUUUCUAUGAGAAAAAAGAUUAUACGUCGAGUGAAAACAGAUUAUCAUGAGCAGUGAAUUUAAGCAACUGACCCGUUGAGGAGUAGAUCGUCGUGGAGAGCCAUUCGAGCAUUCGGCGGGCUUUUCUGGAGGAGUCGACGGGAAGGCGAGGAACGAUAAGAAGGGUCUUUGGGAGGAAAGAGCGGGAGAAACAUGGUAGUCCGAUGACUGCUAUUCGAAAAGCACAAACACGAAACGACAUCGCAAUGGAUCAGUAUAAAUACAAAGGAGACGAUCGUUAAAGCAGCGGUGAACGAUGCCCGUCCCAUUUGAGGUCAACUAUGCGAUUAUAGCCAGAUCGGAAUCUCCAGUGGAAUGUCGGAUCGUUGGAGAUGAAGAGAAGAGAUGAAAGGUUCAGCCGGUAAAAGGCCCGCCGGAAAAUCGGCGAGGCCGGAGGAAAAGGACGUAAACGGGUUAAGCGAAGCCGCGAAGGUGAAAUCGAGAUGUUAGACGUAUUUUGUUUCGCUUUUCGUUGCAAACUAGCUUGCCUAGCACACAAUUUUGUAUAUAUAACUACUAUCUAUAUUUUUCUAGAAAAGGUUUUAGUAAAUAACUACUACUAUCCAUGCCCGCACGAUAUUAAAGAGUGUUAAUCAUGUUCUUGCUCCAAUUAAAUUUAAGCUCUAUGCUUGUUAAUAAGUAAAAUAAUAAAAAACAAAGUACAAUAAUAAUAACAAUAAUAAUAUAUAUAUAUAUAAAACAAUAAAAAAAGAAGCGCAAUGUUGAAGAGAAAAAAAGAGAGAAAAUUCUUAUCGAAUUUUGGGGUGCUCUACAAUGGGGGUAAGACCCCUCUAUUUAUAGGAGAAAAAUGACUUAGCCUCAAAGUAAAACUCUCUACGAGAUAGACAUUCACUCUAAUUAGAAUUCUAUUCUUAACACUCCCCCUUGAAUGUCUACUCAAUAAAUAAUGUGCCUCGUCGAAACCUUAACUAAAAUAAAACCCAGUGGGAAAAAAUUCUAGAAAAGGAAAAAGAGUACAUAUGUUUAGAAAUUUCCCUAUUGGUUGCCUCGUUAAAACCCUUGCAAGGAAAACUCAGUGGGACAAAACCUUGUAAGGGAAAAAGAGUGCAACGCGCAUUAACUCCCCCUGAAAAGAGCAUCAAUUCACAUCCUUGAGNNNNNNNNNNNNNNNNNNNNNNNNNNNGGACAAAACCUUGUAAGGGAAAAAGAGUACAACGCGUAUUAACUCCCCCUGAUGAGAGCAUCAAUUCACAUCCAUGAGUCUUCACAUUCCAAUCUUGUGCACCAUCUUCAAAAGAUCGUUGGUAGAGAAUUGAUAAAUAAAUCAGCCAUAUUGACUUGAAUAAAUAUUUGCACCGUGAUAGAUAUAUAACGUCUUCACAAAUAUUGUGGAAUGGCUCUUCAAUAUUUCCAUAGAGGUAUCCUCGCUAUCACAUUAUCAUGCUUAUAGUNNNNNNNNNNNNNNNNNNNNNNNNNNNNNNNNNNNNNNNNNNNNNNNNNNNNNNUAUCGUGGAAUGGCUUUUCAAUAUCUCCAUAAAUGUAUCAUCGCUAUCAUAUUAUCAUGCUUAUAGUUAUCGCAAGAUACAUUUGUGCAUAAAUUGCACUGAGGAAGUGGUACCUCAAGAUCAAGAAUUGUAGAUGCUUCCAGCAACUUAAAUCCUUCAUGGAUUGUCAUAUAAGUUAAGUCAUAUAAGCCAUAUUAUAGACUUUAUAUGCAUAUCAAGUUUUCAUGCCAUGCUAGACAUAUAAGAUAUCAAAAAAUGAUUGCACAUACCAUUGACUUUAUACUUUUAAGUAUUUGAACCACAUGUCCAAACUACAUGUCUUUCAUAUGGAAUCAAUUCUACUUGAAUUGUAUCUCUUCCAUUNNNNNNNNNNNNNNNNNNNNNNNNNNNNNNNNNNNNNNNNNNNNNNNNNNNNNNNNNNNNNNNNNNNNNNNNNNNNNNNNNNNNNNNNNNNNNNNNNNNNNNNNNNNNNNNNNNNNNNNNUGGCCAAUACUUUUGUGUCUAUAUUUGAUAGACUUAAGAUCCUCAUCUAUACUUAGCGCUAUGAUAGAUGUCGUCGACAAACAUGUUAUAUCAAUUCCAGUAAAUUUUCAUAAAGACAUAACAUAGAGAUCUUCAUUCAUAUAUUCAAGUAUCUGAAUCUCUCAUGAGAUUUUAUGAAGUGUUAUGUCAUGUGAUCUUCUAGAUCACUUGCNNNNNNNNNNNNNNNNNNNNNNNNNNNNNNNNNNNNNNNNNNNNNNNNNNNNNNNNNNNNNNNNNNNNNNNNNNNNNNNNNNNNNNNNNNNNNNNNNNNNNNNNNNNNNNNNNNNNNNNNNNNNNNNNNNNNNNNNNAAACUGAUUUGUCUAUACGCUUUAAGCGUACCAUAGAUUUUGUCCUUCUAGGACUUAAUAUGAGCAUUUGCAGUGAAAAUAUAGUUACUUUCUUAGGGUCAAUAAAUGCGUAUGGCAUGCUUUGCAAUAUGUUGCAUAUGAAUUAUCUUUUUAUGAACUUCAAGUUCAUAUUAUCCUAUACGAGGAUCUCGAUACACAAAUGAUAAUCCGUUCGACGUAACUUUUUCUUAAUUGUUUAUCAUAUCUCCCCCUCAUGUUNNNNNNNNNNNNNNNNNNNNNNNNNNNNNNNNNNNNNNNNNNNNNNNNNNNNNNNNNNNNNNNNNNNNNNNNNNNNNNNNNNNNNNNNNNNNNNNNNNNNNNNNNNNNNNNNNNNNNNNNNNNNNNNNNNNNUAUAAUGUACACCGCACAUAAAUGAUAAUAAGAUGAAAUUAUUUGGUUCCUGACCCUGAACCAUUUGUGAGGGGAGAAUGCAAUAUACUUUCGUAUAUCACACAUAUCAAAUUGAUAUAUAUAACUUUUUUCUCAUAUGAAAAAGUUUAGCUAUUAAGUAGAGGCACUCAAUAAAUUAUUUUACUAAACCAACUAUGAUGUAAACCAACUUAUCAGGAUGAACUAUCUUGAAUAGAAAAUUUGGAAAUUGUACUCUAAAUUGAAUUAUUGAGCAAGUUACCUCGCAAAACACCAUGUUGCGAGUUAAUAAUAAUCACAAAUGUAACCAUCUCAUAGAUGCAUCUUAUCGUAUACAUGGCAGGUGAAUGAGCCCAUAUUCACCUUUGAUAUUUCCAGCAUUCAUGGGAUUCAAUCCCAAUUUUAAUUGGUCUAUCAAUUAACGAGAACAAGCAACCUAAGAGAAUUCGUAAAGAUUUUUAUAGUUCUUUAAUAUUUACCCAUAUAGAUUCUCGUUUAUUUUUUGCACAUCAUACUUUAAUUAAUAUGACUAAACUAGUUAUGCCAACCGGAUAUCAAUAAACUCCAAGUUUAUUAUGAUAUGGGUUUUAUGUCAAUAAAGUUCUACUUUAUAAUAUUAUGGUCAUGGUCAAAAUUAUAUGCAAGAUGUUUCUUGCAUUAUUGUUGUCCUUUAAUAAUUACAUGCCAAAAUAUUUUGGCGUACGAUAAGUACGUGAUCAAUGACCAUUCAUGCCAUAAUAAUGACAUUAUUUUCUUAUAUCAUCUCAAUUGUUGUCCUUUAAUAAUCACAUUGCCAAAAUAUUUUGGCGUUUCAUGCCAUACAAUGACAUUAUUUAUUUUUUCAUCUCAAACCCCCUUCUAGAGGCGAGUGUGGUAUAUUCACUACCACUAGCACAUUCAUAUUCUUCCAAGAAUGAAUAUGUAUUCAUAAGUCAUAUGUUGUCACAUUCAAAUCAUGAAUGGACCAUAAUUAUCUAUAUGUGCUUUAUAAAAUCGGAUGUCAAAUCGAUGACAAAUAUUACUUUCAUAAAGUGAAAGAUUAUUUUGAAAAUCUUUACUAUUCUCAUUAUCACAAUGAUGACGAUUAUAAUUCCGUCUAUUGCCACGUCCACNNNNNNNNNNNNNNNNNNNNNNNNNNNNNNNNNNNNNNNNNNNNNNNNNNNNNNNNNNNNNNNNNNNNNNNNNNNNNNNNNNNNNNNNNNNNNNNNNNNNNNNNNNNNNNNNNNNNNNNNNNNNNNNNNNNNNNNNNNNNNNNNNNNNNNNNNNNNNNNNNNNNNNNNNNNNNNNNNNNNNNNNNNNNNNNNNNNNNNNNNNNNNNNNNNNNNNNNNNNNNNNNNNNNNNNNNNNNNNNNNNNNNNNNNNNCAAUACCUUCACGGUAAUAAUUUUGUCUUCUUUCAGACUUAUCACAUAUUGCUAUCAUAUUCUCUAAAGGGAAUGAGAAUGGAGCAAAUUCAAUGGGAUGAGUUUUCAUUCCUUUGCCCACAAUCAUACAUGAAUUUAAUCAUGGCAAGGCAUAGAAAUUUUACUACUUCAUGCGGGUGUAAUUUCUAACAAACUCCAUUAGAGUUAUACUCAAACUUUGUUAUCUUUGCUUGUAUAAAAAAUCAAAUUAUAAAAUUUCAAGAAUUUGAAAGAGAAAAGUAAAUUACUUACCUUAAAUCCAGAAUUUAAUCAUAAAGGAAGUUCAUGGAACAACUUAAAUUUAUUAUGCUCAAUCCCAAAGCUUCUACCCAAUUGGUUAGAGUCUCGUGUUGAUAACGUGUUAUAAAACAAUAAAAGAAGAAGAGAAAUAUUGCAGAGAGAGAGAGAGAGAGAGAGAAAAUUCUUAUUGUAUUUUGGGGUGGUCUACAAUGGGGUAAGACCUCUCUAUUUAUAGGAGGAAAAAUGACUUAGCCUCAAAGUAAAACUCUCUAUAAGAUAGACAUUCACUCUAAUUAGAAUUCUAUUCUUAAAAAUAUAAUAUAAUCCCACGAGUACGAUUUGAGGAUAAUAUACGCAAACAUUAUCCCUAUCUGGUGGAGGUAGAGAGGUGGUUUCCGAAAACCUUUGACUCAAGGAAAAAAUGAAAAGAAACAGUAGAAAUAAUCAAUAUCCACAUCGAUAUAUAAAGAACAAUAACAUAACUUAAGCGAAAGAAAUAACAUGCAGGAAUACAACUAUACGAAAAGAAGAAAAAAGGGAGAGAAAAAACUACAAGACUAAUGCUACGACCACUAGGAUAACAAAGCAAUACACCCAGCUAUCCCUCGCCUUCUAUCCUAAUUUUUUACUUCCUAUCUAGGGUCAUGUCCUCAGUAAGUUGAAAUUUCAUUAUGUCCUGCCUAAUCACCUCACCUCAAUACUUCUUAGGCCGACCUCUACCUCUCUUCAUGGUGUAGUGAUUUGGUCGAUCCUUUUGUGUAUUGUGGUCUCGUUCUCCCAUUUGUCGCUUCUUCUAUACUCAUUUGUGGUUAUGUAGCUGGUUGGUUAUGUUUAGGGUAUGUUUCAGAGUGAAAUGGGACACCUAGUCUCAAGGUUGAAGGCUUAAGUUGGAAGAGUUGACCGAGUUUGAUUUUUAUGUAGACUGCUCAAAUGGAGUUUCGUUGGUUCCAAUAGCUUCGUAAGUGAUUUUGAACUUAGGCGUAUGUCUGGGUAUUGAUUUAGAGAUCCGUAGGUUGGUUUGAGGCUUUUAGUGAAAGUUGGAAAGUUAAAGGUUUGGAAAGAUGAGAAGUUUGACUGAUAGUUCACUUUGUUGAUACCGAACUCGAAUUUAGGUUUCGGAGUUGGAAUAGGUCCAUUGUGUCAUUUAUGACAUGUGUGCAAAAUUUGAGAUCAAUCGAGCUAGUUUGAUAUUAUUCGGCAUUAGUUUUAGAGUUAAAAGCUCACUAGUCUCAUUAGGCUUGAAUUUGGGCGUGAUUCAUGAUUUUAAUACUAUUUGAUGUAGUUUGAGGUUUCGACUAGUUCACAUUGUAUUUUAGGACUGUUGGUAUGUUUGGAUGGGGCCCUAGGGCCUUGGGGUGAUUCAUAUUGAAACCAGAUUGAGAAUUAGACUUAUGGGAAUGUUGUUGGCAUCAGUUAUGGUGUAAUUGGACUGUGAGGUUUUGGCCGCAAGUGCGGAGCCGUAAAAGUGACAUGGUACGUGGAGGUAAAUCUGCUAAAGUGAAUGUGCUUCUGCCCAAGAAGUUUCGCAAAAGCAGAUUUUGACUAAGGCACUGGGGAUCGCAGAAGCGAAAGGUCUCCACAUGUGUGGAAGCGCAUGAGCGAUGGAACAACCGCAGAAGCGGUCCCCCAUAUGCGAAGAUGGGACCAUAGUUGCGCUAGGUCGGGAAUUUAAGUGAAUUCCGCAGAUGUGAAAAUUGAUUGCAAAAGCAGUAUCGCAUGUGUAAUGUUUUGGACCGAGGUGCUAUUUCGCUGGCCGAUUUUAUAAAUGAAAGGUUUCGAGUUUUUCUACAAUUUUCAACUUGUGGAGCUCGUCUAUAGGCUAUUUUGGUAGGGUUUUGGCUAAAACUGAAGAGGUAAGUGAAGAUUCAUCACUUUUAUUAAUGAUUAUUGUUUACCCAUUAAUUUUUACACCUAGAAUAUAUGUGUUUGAGGUGAAAUAUGGGAAAUUUAGACUAUGUUGUUGGAGAACAAAAACUGAGGAUUUGAAUGUCGAUUUGUGGAUGGAAUUGGAUGAAUUUAGUAUGGUUGGACUCGUGAUUGAAUGAGUGUUUGAUCUGUGAAUUUCAUCGGGUUCCGAAGUAUGAUUGUGGGGUUAUUUUGUUUAAUUCUAGUUAAAGACCUAAGUUUUAUCUUUUGGGAUUGUUUGCUAUAGGUAUUAAUGAUGGAAUUUUAUUGCUUUGGAUAGAUUCAAGUCGUUCGAAGGCUGAUUUGUAUGGCAAGGGUUUGUUGGAGCACCGAGUUGCGUGCUUUAAAGCAAGUAACACAUCUAAACUUGAAUUUGAGGUUAUUUAACCCUAAGAACUACAUUAUAUGAAAGAUAUUGGGGUUACGAAUGCACUAGAUGAUGGGUGUGUGAGCGUGCACCAGUGUGAUUAUGGUUUGGGGAGCAUUUAGGCUAUUAUCAGGCUUGAUUUGAUAUCAUAUCAUGUUAUCCUCGCAUUUUCUCUACUUGUUUGAUUAUUUGAAUUGUGAAUAGUGUUAAUCAUAUCUAGGCUAUGUGCUAAUUGUAGGAGAUUUGAUAGGGCUUUCUUGUUGUUUUGAGUUAUAUACCUUAUUUGCACACAUGUUCUCAGUCAUGACACUAUAUUCGUGUAUGAUAUCUCUGUCUCAAUACUUCUUAUUUGAUUCCUCGCAUGUUUUUGAUAGCACAUUCGGAUAAUUUUGUAAAAUCGAGUACUUUAGAUGUGUUUACAUGAGACUUGAACGGCAAAUGACUGAGUUUGUGUAAUGAUCUAACUUGUCGUUUUGAAAUUUAUGAUUCCGUUAGUGAUCUGAGUAUUGGCUAGCUUCAUAUUAUGUAUUAUGAUAUGCAUGCAUGGCCUGAUUUGAUAUUUGUAUAUUUGAGAAUGAAUUUGGAUAAGAGAUACCCACUUUAGAAGUUUAAGUUGGAAAUGUUGAUCGACGUUUGACUUUUGUUGAAACGAUCCUGUAAUAAUAUUUGAUGGUUUUGAUAAGUUUGUAUCAUGAUUUUGGACUCAGACAUAUGCCCGAAAUCGAGUUCGGAGGUUCAUAGGUUGACUUGUGUUAUUUUGUCGAAAGUUGGCAAUUCAAAGGAUUAGAAUUUUGAUAAGUUUGAUCAUAGGUUGACUUCAUAGCUAUCGUCUUUGGAUUUCCGUUUUGGAACUUAGAAUAGAUUUUUUCGUCAUUGGAACUUUCCAUAAAGUUUGGCAUCAUUCCGAGUUGAUUUGAUCGUAAUAGAAUCUGCGAUUAUGUUUUUAGAAGUUCUUGAGUUUCAUGUGUUUUGGAGGUCUGAUUUGUUGUUUUCUGGUGUUAUUUUGAUGAUUUGAUUGUGCGAGCAAAUCUGUGUUAUAUUUUUAGACUUGUGUUGAUAUUUUGUUUGGAGCCCCGAGGGCUCAGGUAAGUUUCGUACACGUUUUGGAGUGUUUGGAAGAGUUGUUGGUAUUGUCCAGGUGUUGCAAAUCUCAUUUGCGAGAUUAGAUCACAUUUGAGAUAUUAGGCUAGAGUCAUCUAGGUUCGCAAUUGCAAACCAGAGUUUGCAUUUGCUUCACCUUUCUGUUUAACAUUUCCAUUUGACCUAUAGUUUGGGGAUUAUAGGUGGUGGCUACCUUGUUCUUAACUCCAUACUUUGCUAUAAUGUUGUUCAAUAACUUGUUACAUAUGUGAGUUCAUGCAUCACUUAUCAGAACCCUUGGAGUCCUAAUGCGUGUAAAGAUAUGCUUUUUUUACAAAGUUUACCACCACAUUUGCGUCAUUAGUAGGAGGAGCAAUAACCUCCACCUGCUUAAACACAUAGUCAAAAUUGCUAGUAAGAUUUACACCAUUAUCCCAUGAAAUCAAUCUCCAAAGCAUCAAAGAUCUCUACUUCCAGAACAUUCUGCAAAUGCAGCUCGUGCUUCCUCGUGAUUGUUCAUGUCUUUGGCACGUGCACACUUUUUAACAAAGUUGUGUGCAUCCUUGAACAAUUUUGGCCAAUAGAAACCUGAUUGCAUCACUUUUUGGGUGGUUUUAUCCCCACCGAGAUGACUCUCAUAUGAGACGCAUGAUAGUCGUGCAAUAUUGCAUUCACCUCCUCCGCAGGAACACACUUUCGUACUAACUAGUCAGUGCACUACUUAUACAAGAAUGUAUCAUCCCACAGGUAGAGCCUUACAUCAUGUAGAAAUCUUCUUCUAUUGUCAGGUGUCAAUUUCAAUGGCAUCACCCCACUUACAAUAAUAGUCACGUAGUCUACAUACCAUGGGACUGAACUCGAGGUGAUUGCAAAUAACUGCUCAUCUAGAAAGAUUUCCUUAGUCAAACCUCCAUCAACCACUUUGUUCCAAUUUAUGGACAAGUGAUCAACCACUUGAUUUUUUGUUCCAUUUCGAUCUCGUAUCUCUAAGUCAAAUUCUUGCAAAAGAAAAAACCCAAUGAAUAAACUUCGGCUUGGCGUCUUUCUUUCAAACAAAUACCUUAUAACUGAGUAAUUUGUGACAUUUACUUUGGUUAUUGCAAGAUAGGAUCCGAACUUGUCAAACGCCCACACUAGUGCAAGCAACUCUUAUUUAGUAAUAGUGUAGUUCAUCUAGUCUGGAUUCAGAGUUUUGCUCCCAUAAUAAAUGGAGUGAAAAAAUUUAUCCUCUGUUGUCCCAAAACAACUCUUAUUAUGACUUUGCUCGCAUCGCACAUCAACUCAAAUGGUUAUUGCGCCAAGUCCGGGGUAAUGACAAUUGAUGCAGUCACCAAUCUUUUCUUCUGUUACUCUAAUGCUUUCAAACAAGCAUCAUAAAAUUUUAAGGGUAUAUCUUCUCAAGAAGCUUGCACAUAGGAGAGGAAAUUUUCGAAAAAUAUUUAAUGAAACGAUGAUAAAACAUGCAUGACCCAAGAAACUACAAAUGCCCUUAACGGAUGUAAGUGGUGACAAUUUUUCAAUCGCAUCACCAUUUGCCUUGUUCACUUGCAGACCAUUUUUGGACACAUUGUGCCCCAUGACUAUACAUUCUCCUACCCUAAAAUGACAUUUCUCCCGGUUUAGCACCAAGUUUGUCUCUUAAAACCUAAGCACUUUAUCGAGGUUUAUUAAAUAAUUAUCAAGAGAAUACCCAAACACAGAAAAAUCAUCCAUGAACAAUUCUAAAAUCUUUCAACCAUGUCAGUAAAAAAGCCAUCAUACAAUAGAGGAAAGAGAAGACCACAAGUACGUGUCCCUAUGGCAUAUAUGUGUUCAAGAGAAUGCCCAUUGGUCUCUAUAAUUCACAUGAAAAUUUUAAAAGGUGCCCCUAAUAUCUAUCUAGGAAACAAUAAUAUUCCUUUCCAGCUAGUCUAUCAAGCAUUUGGUCAAUAAAGGGAAUGAAAAAGUGGUCCUUGCGAGUGGUAUUAUUUAAUUUUCUAUAAUCUAUGCAAAUUCUCCACCCUAUCACAGUUCUUGUGGGAAUCAUGACAUUAUUUUCAUUAACCACUACAGUCAUUCCUCCUUCGUAGGCACACAUUAGACGGGGCUUACCCAUUUGCUAUUAGAGAUUGAAAAUACAAUACUUGUAUUAAGCCACUUAAUCACUUCUUUUCUUAUCACCUCUUUUAUGAUUUGAUUUAGGUGGCGUUGGUGCUCUAUACUUGGCUUGUGUUCUUCAUCCACGAUAAUUUUGUCAUGUAGAAGGCCGGAUUAAUUCCUCUAAUGUCAUAUAUCGUCCACCAUAUUGCCCACUUAUGUUCACGUAACAGUCUUAGCAACUUUUCUUCCUGCAAUUUAGACAGGUCAAAGGAAACAAUAACAGGUAGAGUGUAGAAACACCCAAAUAGGCAUAUUGAAGGUGAGGGGAAAAAGGGUUUAAGUUCCAAUUUUGGAUCCUCUUUAAUUGACGGCUUGGGUGGAGGCCCACUUGGCCUAUUUAGGCCCUCAAAGGGGUUUAAUCUCUGCAUGUUGAUACAUGAUUCAUCUUUAUAUGUAUUGUCUCCUUAACCUCGUCUUAAAUCUCUAUGUUAUCAAAUAACAUGAGUGCUUUUUCUAAAUAAUGGUCUAGAUAUAUACUCGGAUCUAUAAGUUUCUCACCCACCUCCACAACAGAUAUCAUAUAGAGCUCCUCAUAAUAGUGGUGGAGUUGAAUCGCCUUGUAGUCAUUGAAAACUGCUUCCUCAUUGUCCGGCCUCAUAAUCAUUUUUAACUCUCUUACUUUAAUAAUUGCAUCAUCUUUAUCUAAAAGAGGUCGUCCCAAUAUGACUGGAACUUGUUCAUCAGCCUCAUAAUCUGGGAUAAUGAAGUCUACUAGGAAGAUGAAUUUCCCAAUUUACAGCAGCACAUCUUUAAUUACUCCUUCAAGGUAAAUGGAUUUAUCAACUAAUUGCAACAUCACAAUUGUUGCUUGGAGCUCCCAGAUCCAAUUUCUUGAACAAGACAAGGGCAUCAGAUUUAUGCUCGCUCCCCAAAUCACAUAGAGCAUGACCUACAUCAAUAUUACCAAUCCGCACAAGUAUGGUGAAGCUACAGGGAUCCUUAAGACUUUGAGGAAGAUUGUUUUGGACCCUCGAAGUGCACUCCUCAAUAUGUGUGACUGUCUCGAAUUCAGUCAAUUUCCUUUUGUAAGCCACUAUAUCUUUAAUGUACCUAGGAUAUUUUGGAAUUUCACGAAGUACAUCCACCAAUGGAUAUAUUUAAUUGACCCUAGCUCAACAUAUAGUGAAAUUUGUUAAACAUGCGAUAAUCUUUCUUCUUCUAUAAACUUUAGGGGAAAGGCAGUGGUGGCCUUAUAGAUCCACUGGCUCUGAACUUGCAUCAUCUUUCUUUGACUCGUGUGUUGCUUUAUGAAUUAACUCCCCCUUAGGUAUGUUGAUACCCAAUUUUUUAAAUAUUUUUAUAUGCAAAAUACAUCCAAAAUAGCAUAUAUAUAUAUAUACAUAUAUAAGCAUGUCCAGGUAUUUUAUUAUUUUUUUUAAUUUUUAAAAGAUUUUAAAACCAAUUUAUUGCCCUAUUUUCACAGUACAAAAACCAAUAAAUGUUCCUCAGAUUAUUAUUUUGGUGAUUAACUUAUUUUAUUCUAAUAUUUAUGCCAAUAUAUAGCUAUGGUAAUUUUUCACAUAUUUAUGAAUUGAUUUGGUAUUUUUAAAGCUAAAUUGCACUUAAUUGCAACUUUAGUCUAUUUUAAGAUUUAAUUGCACCUAUAAUUAUAAAAUUGAUUCAAGUAUUUUUAAUUUAAUGUCUAUAUAUUAUUAAUUAAUUUAUCACCUUUAAUUUGUUUUCAUAAAUCAUUUUAAUAUUUUUAUAAAAUAAAAAGAUAAAAGUGGAUAUUUAAAUACUAGCCCUAUUUCAUUUUAAUUGUAGCCCAAUUUUACCACCCUAAGUAACAAAAUUUCAAAUUCAAAAUUACCCGGUUCAAUUGUAAUUUAACCCGCCCGUGACCCGCCCGACUCUCUCUUUCGAUCAAGGUCGUUGAUCAAAAUGAUCAACGGCCACGAUCCCUCAAUUCCUUUUUAUUUUUCAAACCCCUGACCCUAAAAUCAUUUCACUUAAUCAUACGCCUCUAAACACUCAUUUCUCUCAAACUCUCUCGAACAUUCUUGGAACCCUAAUUGUCUCAACUAUCUCCCACCGAAAAACCACCGGAAACCAUGGCUUCUCCUGCCAUGGGAGUCUUAUAUUCACCUCAUAUUGCUCUUAUGUGCUUGAUACCUAAAGAUUCAAGGUUUGUCCUUGAAGGUUUUCAUCCAGAUCUUUGCCGGCUCGAGGUUUCACGUCCAUCUCCGGCCUUGCUCCAGUGUAUCCUGGUCUUCUGAGAUUGGUUCUAACUUCUCCGACUCCGAUCGGUGACCUUUCCAAAGCUUUUCUCAUUUUAGGGUUCUUCUGAAACCCUUCGAGGUUUUCUUCUCCAAUCUUGUUAAAUUCGUUGUGUGUCUGUGCUUUACUUGAGUUUUCAAAGAAUUUCCCUAGUUUUGCUUUCAAAAAUUAAUUUCAAAACUACUUCUUUUUUAUCUAGGGUUUUCUGAAAUAUUUAAGUGUUUUUAUGGUUUUUUCGUUAUUAUUCGUGUGGUUGCCUUUACUGUGCUCUUGUAUCAUCUUUUUUGUUUUUGUCUCACCGUGUUUUCCUAUGCUAUGGUCUUGUAGACUUCUCUACUGUAUUUUUACCAUGUUCUUAUACGUUUAUCUUACUGUGUUUUCCUAUACGCUUUUCUGCUUACUUUUUCGGUGUUCUUGCGUUCUUCUACUGUAUUUCCCCGCUAAGCAUGCCUUUUUUACUUUUCGUAUCAGUAUUUGCCAUUAUGUUUUUUGAAUCCUUCUACUGUGAUUCCAUGUUACGAUGUUAUCAUAUUCUUUAUAAGUUUUGUUGUUGAAGAAGCAUGUCCUUUUCUUAAACUUCUGAACAUGAUUUUGCUUCAAUUGCAUGCCCUUUCAUCCUUGCUUUAUGGUUUGCUUGAACUAGGAUUUCGUUUCGAAACCCCUAACUCUGUCAGACUAACUUCGAGUCUCUGAAUGGAGUUUACACCUUUGUUUUCUUACAAUGUCGACCCUUUUGCUAAACUCUUCUAUACUGGAUUCUUUCUAUUGAAUUUUUUAACAAGGGCAUGACAAAGUUUCCUUCAUGUUUAACGUGUUUGUAUGCUUUUAUAUGAGAUGAAUCUUUCUUCAAAAAAGGUUUUCAAACUUAUGAUUAAUCCAGAAUUCCUUUUAAAUUGGUCUAAUUGAUUUGUUUGCUGAUUUUCUUUAAGUUAAAAAUCUUUCCCAUCUUUUUGACUUGGUUCAUUUAUACAAAAUCUUUGGCCUCAGAUUUCUUGGCUGUUAAUUGAUUUUCUUUCCUUAAAUUGUACAACCGCGUAUUUUAAAGACCUUGUCCUUGAAUAGCCUUUAUGUAUUUGCCCCAAAUUUACUACUUUGCACAAAGUUUUUAUUUAAAUCCUUUUUUUACAUGGUUUUACCCGUUAGAAUUUGAAUCCCAUAAUUAAAGGGAGUCUUAUGUAAUUGAUUUACAAUUAGUCUUCAAUUAUUUUCUCAUGACUUUCACACUAUAAAUACAUGACUCUUUUCUUUCACACUACACACGAUUUUAAUAAUCCUCCACUACUAAAAUUCACAAUUCUUCUGAACUCUUACUCUCACAUAAGAGAACUCUCUCGUCUUGUCUGCAUUCUGACUUUCACAAGAUUACUGCUUUUCCUAUUUGUUUUUUUAAACUAGUACGUCCUAAAUCUAAUUAACAGUGUCACAAAAAUGUGUUUACUUACAACUUUCUACAUCUCUGUCUCUUUACUGCUUCUGCAGGUUUAAAUACUUAAACUAGUAUGUUGAUUUCUUUUGGUUAUUCUGUUAUGAACUCCCCUUCUCUAUUCACUCUAUGUGUUUUGAGUUAUAAUUUAAAACAUAGCAAUAUACUAGUUAUUUUCUAUGGAUUAAACUUGAUCCCUUAGGGGAUCCUAACCUCUAAAACAAUAUGUUAUAGUAGGUUGUGUGUGUGCCAACAUCUCUCAUUGUUGGGUUAUGCCCAUUAACCUGAAUUUAUCUCUUGCAAUUCCCCAUCCCUUAUAUCCUUAUGUGUAUUGUUUCCCUUUUCCCUCUUGGAAUUUUGCACUUGCACUCUCUCUCUCUCUCUCUCUCUCUCUCUCUCUCUCUCUCUCUCUCUCUCUCUUAGUUCCUAAUUUCUUGCCCCCUCUUGUGAGCCUUCCCUUGGGACCUUGAGUUCCAUCUAAACUUGGACACCUGACAUCUGGCCUUUUCAUACUGCACUUUGGCUUAAUAUGGUGAUACAUUUGGUGUAAGCACUGCAUGGAGUCCUUAAUAAGCUCUUAGGGAACUCUGACACACCCAAGUGGUAGAAAGGGAUUGAACAUUGAUACUUGGAGUUUGUUUACUUCAUAAAUCAGACAGAAAGUUUGAAUAAGGCGUUCCUUGGUGGUAAUUUUCAAAUUUCUGAUGUAUUUUCUUUACUUUAUUUUUUUAUUUGGAUCGUUAUAACUUUGUAUAGCUUUUGGGGAUGAUUAGUGAAAAGGGAGGGGGUAACUAUGCAUGUAUACAGGUAGAUAACUUGCCUAUAAGAAUCUCUAAUUUAUGUAUUUUUCAUAUAGUUACCAUGCCUAUAAGACUCAUGUAUUUUUCAUAUAGUUACCAUGCCUAUAAGACUUAUGCAUUUUUAUAUAGUUACCAUGCCGAAAAGACUUAUGAAAUUUUAUAUAGUUACCAUGCCUAUAAGACUGAUACAUUUUUAUAUAGUUACCAUGCCUAUAAGACUUAUGCAUUUUAUAUAGUUACCAUGCCUAUAAAAUUUCUGCAUCUCAUUUAGCUACCAUGUCUAUAAGAUUUCUGUAUCUCAUUUAGCUACCAUGCCUACAGGGAUCCUGCACUUUCAUGUAGAUAGUGUGCCUAUAGCUCCUGCACACGCACGUAAAGAAUAUGCCUACAGGUCCUUUCUGAUUCUUGCACACCAGCUUUUCACUAGGCAAACUUGUCUAUAGGUCCUAAUAAUAAAAAAUGUAAUUCGAUAGCACACAACGCUUGGAUAAUCAUGUUAUAGAAUCUCUACACUCCUCUAUUUCUAUAACAAUGUCUUUAAGUUGGCAAACAUAUAGAAAGCAUGCCUAUAGGGGUUCUAAUUCAAAUUGAAUAGCCUCGCUCUUUUGAUAGUUUGAAUUGUCAGUAGUAUUGCAUUAUCAAUUGCAGAACUUGUACUCUUUCUAUUAAAAUUAGCAACAUUUCCUUAAAUCAACAUGUAAUCAAUUCAUAUUCGUAUUUCUAAAAUCUGUAGAUAUCAUGCCUAUAGGGUUUCAUCUACCACUUAGGCAAGCCUUAGGGUAACCUUAUAAACUGAAUCAAAUUCUUUUUAUUAUUAACUACAACCAACAGGGAAGCAUGAUUUAGGCUUCCUAUCUGAAUUAUGUAAUAGAUGAGUCUGCCUCAAAUCUUUAAGUUUUAGUUAGACCUUAAACAAUACGUUUAAGACAUGCUAAACUAUGUGCUUUCUCUGGUUUUAAAGGAGGUUUGUCUGAGCCUUGUUAUUUUUUUAUAUGCUCUCCUCCAAACUUGCUAUAUGUGUUUUUUUUUCGCCUUAGUAUUUUUAAACCGUUUGAAACCAGAAAUAAGCCAAUGUCUCCUCCCUUUAGGAUUAGUAAUCUUAAAUACCUCCGGUAUUGAUAGAUCAGGAUGGGUAAUAGCAUGCAAUAGGUAAACGAGACCAUUAUGCGCUUUAAUACCUUAACGAUGUGGGAAAGGGUAUAUAUGGAUAUGAUGACCGGUGCGUCAAUACCACGUGUAUCCCCUCUCGGAGGAGUGAUUACCAGGUAUUGCAUUAACGUGAUCCAUAUUAUUAAUAAAUCUAGGACCCCCCCUCCCUUUGCUCUUUGUUUCUUUAAAUCUUCAAAAUGUUUCUUCUAAAUCAACCCUCUCCUAUGCUUUCCAACUUUGUUUAUUUCUAACCUUUAUGUGAAAAUCUGCUCUUAUGUGAUACUCUUACUUGCUUAUAUGUUAUUUGUAUUUAAGUUACAAUAAUAGCUUGGCCAAUAACUACAAUAGUGGAUCCUGGGGGGUGCCUAAAACCUUCCCCUCAAGAUAAUUUAAAGCCCUUACCCAAUCUCUGGUUAUCCAAACAAAGCCCUUCUUAGUGUCCUAAUGCACUUAAAUCAUCAGGUGACCACUCUCCAAUUCUCUUAAACCAACUCCCAAAAGGGAACGAGUUGUCCUUCGAAAUGUCAAAAACCCGAUUUCGCGAGAAAAAAAGGAGCGCGACAGCAUGGCUACUCUUUGGGGAUUUUCUUUAGGCUUUUACUAUUUCAAGCUAUUACUAUAACUUUACAUUUCUUAUGUGCCUUUAUUUGUUGAUUCCUUUUAAGUUUUAAUUCCUUCUCCUGCUAUGAAACUGACUUGUCUUUUGUUUCUUUUCCUUAUUUCUUUUACUGUCGCAUUUCCUUAUUACUGUUUAAUUAUUGUAAUUAUUAUUAUGAACGUGCAACUAAGUGGCAACUUGUUUUAAUUAUUGCAACUACAUGUUUUCAACAUCAUAUUUCACUUGUGCCAAACAAAAUACCAUAGCAACGCUAAUUAUGAGUGGUUGCGCCCUUCCAUAUUAUCACCCCCUAAAUCCGGCAAAGGAAUUUUUGCGGUAAAAGCAGUCGAUCAAUAUUGUACUCAACGGUUCUGCGCCUUUCCCUCUUGAUUUGUCCCCUUAAGGGUACCAGUCUAGUACUCCAUAGAAGCCUUACUCUUUGUAAUUAUGCAUGCAUCAUAGUCAAACCUCGACGGGUCAGUUAUGUUGUCCGCAUAAUGACUCUUUAAGAUAGCCUUGUCCAAAGUCCACUGGGUUUCCCAAAAAUCCAAACGAACACUACCACGUUUGUGCAUUUAUUUGGAGGACUAAAUGCUUCUAUUCCAAUUAUUGAUAUUUAGUAGUCGAGUCUGGUGGGGGUAAGGGCCUAACCCUUUGUUUUGCAGAAACAUGAGGCACAAGUUCCCCAUAUUCAGCAUGGUCACUAACAUCCACCCCAAACUGCUAAGCUGGUGGAAGGAUUUUCACUCUAGUGAUUAGACGCUUGUCCGGAAAUAUUUAGGGAACCUACCCUCUCUCUUGGAAGUUCAACCCAACAACAAAUACAUAGAAGUUGCUACUCUAUUAUGGGAUUAUGAUAGGUCUCUAUUUCGGAGAAUUGAGAUGACACCCCUUCUCGAGGAAAUAGGAGGACUAGCUGGUAUACCGUGGGAAACUCUAGGUUUAUUAAUGCCAAAAACCGCAAAGGUAGAGGUUUUCUCAAAAUAAUGGGUCUAAAGAAGAAUCUAGACUUGACAUGUUUGAAAGUGUAGUACAUACCCUUUGACUACUUGUACGAGAGGUACGGAAACAGUAAAUCUUACAGUACUUAUCCUAACGAGUUCGCCUUUACAUCAUUUGGGAAUAUUCACCGAAAGAUAUUUGUCGUCAUGUUCUGUUUCUUAGGGAUGAUAGUAUUUCCAAUGAAGAAAGCAAGGAUCCAUACCAAGUUAGCUAUGCUCACCAAAACUCUAAUGGAGGGAGUUGACGAACAGCCAUUCAGUCUUGUACAAAUGAUAAUUGCAGAAAUAUACCAAGCGAAAAGUUUCAACAAGGAGCCAGACACAUCGAGGGUUGUAAUAUGCUACUUCAACCUUGGGUCAUGGAACAUCUCCAAAAGGGUGAGUACCGAGAGGAAAUAUAUCGAAGGUACUGGGAUGAUCAUAUCGCUUUCCACUAGCCAAAGCGAAUGAAUUACAUGCCCAACAUGUUCGCCCAACUGGAGAAUGCUAGAGAAUAGGUCGAAUUCUUUGAAAAUCAAAUUGAGGAUCGCGUACAAUGGAUGUUCGAGUGGUUCCCAACUGAGGAGUUCAUCAUCUGAUCUAGGGACACACAUUUCCUAAUAUUGAACGUCUUAAGAGGAACGUACCCAUACGUACCUCUUCAGGUUAUGAGACAAGCGAGAAGGAAGCAGGUUAUACCGAGGGUCAACAAGAUGAGUCACUUCCGGGCUGAUUUCCAAAAUGACGAUAACCCUUAUAGGUACCAGUGUCAUGCUACGCCCAUUUUCUAAGAGGUUAUGCCAUGCGGGCGAUGACUGGGCGACACAGUAGUGAUGAUUUGGCGCACGGAUGGCAGCAUUUCUCUAGCCAAGUCUAGAUCUUUCCAAUGGAAGACUCUAGACCCUUCUAGUCCCAUCUUGUAUAUAAGACAUUUGUAGAGACUUGUAGAAAUUUCUGGGCUUUUGAUCUUAGCCAUUCAUCCAAAUAGAUCUUAGCCGUUGAUUAGGGACUCUAGCAACUAUAAAUAGGCUAGCAUUUGGCAUUUGCCAUCACACAAGAAACAAUCAAGCAAUCCAACACAUUUGUACAAAGCUCUCUUGUUUAAUACAAAGCUUUCUUACAAGCUUCUCUUAGCUUCGUUGUGGUGUUAGUUCGGGGGAAACGCUGACUUAGCACAUCGCAGGGGCGAAUUGUGACUAAGGCCGCAUGGAAGAUAGCUAGGGAGUUAUCCGGUCCAAGACACCAGACUCAGCAUAUGUGGCAUUGCAAAAUCGUCAUGGGAAGGGACACUAUUGAACCAGAUAGAUACCACGCGGGUUGUGAUCCCUAUUAUUCAGGUUGGUUGAAGGAUAAUCAUAAUGGUCUGGGUUAACCUAGGUUUGUUCGAGGUAACUGUAUCAUAGAUAAAAAGGCCGAAGCACAUGUCAAUUACAACCAUCUGCGCAAGUGAAUAUGAGAAUGCAAAAGAAAGCACCGUGAGAUACAGGAAGCCAAUCAGAAACUAAAAUAUGACCAUUAGCGCCAAUGAAUGUUUGGUCUAUUUAGAGCGACGUAUAGUAGAGUUGGAAAAGAAGUUUCUGAAGAGGGUCGAAGACUGUCGGACUACUGAAGGAAAUGAAGGCGGACAUCUGGCCAGAGCCUACUUGCUGCUGGGACUGUGUGAGAUAGGGAAGUUGUUUGAUGGAGCCGAUAAUGCUGAGUUUGGGGAAGGUCCCUCUUGAACCAAAUAAAUAGGAAUUUUCAUUUCUGUUUUAUAAAAUGUAAUAAGGCCAAUGCCCACUAGUCAUUUUUAUUUCCAUGUUGUUUAGUGUCGUUUUGGGAUUCGUCUCCUUUUAUCAAUGAAAUCAGGCAUUUAAUAUUAUAAGUUCUCCAAGCCAACUUGUCGCUAGGCCUACCCCGGGCACAACGAGGCCCCUAAAAUUAGGAUGCACUUUAUGUUUCAGCAUUACAUGUUUAAAUAUUGCAAAAUUUUUCUAUUGAUCUUCACUGACUUGUUACCUUUUUGUUUUAAAUUAUUGUUUAUUCCCUUCCCCAAAGUUUAGCUCGUGAAUUUUGGCAACAUUAUCAUAUUUAACGAGAUCCAGGGACCCUCCACCACUCCUCCUCCCAGUCCUAUCAGACACAAAUACAAAAGAAAGAUGGAAGAUUUGAGCAACUCAACUGAACGGGUAGAGGUCACUCAUGGUGCUCUGGUUCCCAAGGAAAAUGCAUCCCAUUUGGAACAAAAGUUGUUGAAAUUACAGGAAGAACUUGAUCAAGUCUGGAAUUUGGCAAGUACGUCAUUUCGCAUACUACUCCAUAGGUUACUUUUCCAACUACUCAGAAUCAUGUGCAUCCCAACUAGAACAAAAGCUAUUGAAAUUUUAGGAAGAACUCGAUCAAGUUCGAAAUUUGGCAAGUUUGUCAUUUUCCCGCACCACUUCAGAGGUUACUUUCCCAACUACUCAGAGCCCUGUACCUCCACAAAACAUCCCAAAGCAACAAAACCACCUCGCUCCUCACCACCACUGCAAUACUUUUCAUACCUCCUAUAACACCCCACUAAUCAUCCCACAAUUCUAGAACUCCACAAAUGACCACCGAUACACUAAACACAAUUCCCCUGUCUACGUGGAAAUUGUGCCACACUCCAUCCAACCCAUCUCAGGCACACCCGAGUCCAAUGACAAGGACAUGCUCAUCAGAAAUCUGGCAGAAGAACUUAAAAGGAUGACUAGCAGAAUUCAGGGUGUCGAAGGAAUUAAAGGGAUUGAAGGAUUGAACUGUGAAGACCUUUGCAUACAACUGGAUGUCGAACUGCCUGUAGGGUACAAACCUCAUAAGUUGCUUGAUGGUACUGGGGAUUCGAGAGUUCACCUGAGAACAUAUUGCGACAAGCUAUUCGGAGUAGGGAAGGACGAAAGGAUUCGCUUGAAGCUUCUCAUGAGAAGUCUGAAAGGAGAUGCUAUGUCUUGGUACAUUAGCCAAGACCCGAAGAAAUGGUCAAAUUGGGUGAGUAUGGUAUCAGAUUUUAUGGACAGGUUCAGGUUCAAUACAAAAAAUGCACCAUAUGUGUUCUGCAUUUAGAACCUAAAGAAGAAGCCCACAGAAACCUUCCGUGAGUAUGCUACUAGAUGGAGAUAAGAAGCUGCAAAGGUUAGGCCUGCUUUGGAAGAAGAGAAAAUGAACGAAUUCUUCUUUCGACCUAAGACCCACAAUAUUAUGAGAGGUUGAUACUGAUCGAGAAUCACAAAUUUUUUGACAUCAUCAAGCUAGUAGAAACGAUCGAGGAAUGAGGAAGGCAUCAAAAGUGGUAUGGUCACGAACUUUGAAGCUUUGCAAGCCACCAACAAGGCUUUACAGUCCGGUGGUACAUCCAAGAAAAGGGACGUGGGUGCUGAAAUGGUUGUAUAGAGGACAAAUCCCCUGUCAAGUACCAAACCUACCCAAUGCACCCACUUACAUAUCAGCCUACUCAAGUUACCAAGAACCUCCACUUCUCACAUACCAACCAACUUCACACUAAUACUCCCAACCAUUACAUGUUUACCAAGCCUACAACACAAAACUAUCCCACUAUCAAUCAUCCCCCCCCAAUCAAAACUUCCCUAGACCUAGACCAAAUUUCGACCGCAGACCUUCUAAAUAGUAUACCCCUAUUACUGAAUCAAUUGACCAGCUGUACGAAAGACUCAAAGCUGCUGGUUAUGUUACCCUUAUCCUUUCCAUAACCCCAUAAAACCUUUCUCAGUGGGUCAAUCUAAAUAAAUCCUAUGCAUACCAUUCCAACGUGAAAGGACACACUAUCUAUGAAUGCCGCUCUCUGAAGCAUAAGAUUCAGACUUUGAUUGACAAUAAGAUUAUUAUAGCAAAGGAACCUGCUUUUGAAUGUCCGCAAUAACCCUCUGCUAGACCACAAGGGUGGAGGUGUCCAUAUGAUUGAGAUAGAGGAUGACUGGGACCCCAAAGGAUCGAUCGGUUUGAUCACAGAAGGCGAUGAUCCAAAAAAGCCAGUAGUCACCCUAAAUUCGAUUAUGGUAUAGAUUUAACCUUCUGGGGACACCGACGUAAACAUGUCCAUGCCACUCGAGUUUGAAGCACCGUCCUCUGUAAAUAUGCCAGUGCCAAUUGAGGUUGAGUUUAUGUCACCAGCAGAUGCACCCACACCCUUUGAAGUUGCAAUUUAUCUCCUAAAGGGCCUCCUCCGUUUGGAGUGAAGAUAGCCACACCAAUUCCAGUGGAAAUGUCAUCUAUAACACUAUUUCGCACCAAUGUCAUACCUUGGUACUACACAGCCGAAGCCAUAAGAAAGGGGAAGGUCAUGUUCGGGGAAGUCAUUGCGGUACAUAGUAUGACAAGAACCGACAUGGUUUAUUCCCCAGAAUAUUUGGCCGAGUCGAGGAAACAAGCUUCUAAUCAGCUGACUGUCGCUUAAACUGGGCCUGAUGAUCUCUGGAGAAAGAUACAAGCUAAAGACUACUCGGUCAUUGAUAAGGUGAACAAAACACCAACACAGAUCUCUAUCUUGGCUUUGCUACAAAGUUUUGAUGCACCUAAGAAUACUUUGUUAAAGGUGUUGAGUGAGGCAUAUAUACCGAGAGACAUAACUGGAGGAGAAAUGAAAAACAUGGUAGGGCAGGUAUUUGAGAGUCAUAAGAUCACUUUUCAUGAAGAUGAGCUGCCGCUGGAAGGGUUGAGUGACAACAAGGCAUUACACAUCACUAUGCAGUGCGAGGAUUAUUUUAUCACCAGGAUCUUGAUUGACAGAGGGUCCAGAUUCAAUAUUUGUUAGUUGGUAACACUCAUGAUAUUAAGAAAGGGGUUACAUGAGAUCAAAGAUGGGUCCAUCAACAUUAAAGUUUUCGACGAAUCGCAAAGGUCCACUAUUGGGAAAAUUAGCUUGUGCUUGCAAAUAGGGCCUACCUGGUUUGAUGUUGAUUUCAAGUGAUAGACGUACCGACAUCUUAAAAUCUGUUAUUGGGAUGACCAUGGAUUCAUGCCGCUGGGGCUGUCUCAUCAACACUACAUCUGGCAGUACAAUUUGAGAGGAACCACCAAGAGGUGAUCAUUCACGGCGACUGUAGCAAUCCCAUAUACAGUCGCCAGACUAUCCUAGUUAUUGGAGACAGAAGAAGGAUCGGUGGGGAAACUUACCACCACAUCGAGCGAGUCAACAUCAUUGAUAAAGACAAAUGGUGGGAUAACAAGAUUAAAAGUAUAUUUAAUUGAAGCGGGUAUGAACCUAGCAAGGGACUUGGCAAGAACCUCCAAGGAAUAUCUAAGCCCAUCAAGCUCAAGAAUCUUGGCACCACUUUCGGAUUGGGAUAUUACUAUACCUAGGAGGAAUUCAACCAUUGGUUGCCACUAUGGCAAGGUCCUUACUACCUUUUAGAGCAGCCCAUACCCUGUUUGGAGUAGACUUUCCAGCCGGCCGAUAUUGUCUACGGGUCAAAAGAGGAGGAAGCACUGGCAGUGAUGAAGAUUUUGUUUCUAGAAGACGAUAACAUAGAUUGUUGUGUCAUUUUUUAGGAGGAGGGGGAGAAAGACCCUUCCAUACAGGCUGUAGGCAGAGGAACAUGCCUCACUUACUGGACUAUCAUAACCACAACAGCUCGAUGAGCCUCGAGGUAGCAAGGUUGAACAAGCAUCAUGCAUUAUUUUUAUUUUUACUAGUUGACUUUCCUUUUGCAUUUUUAAUUUUUGCAAGAAAGAGCUCCAAUGUUCAAAAACAAUUAUGGAAUUUAUCAAAAGCAUUUCGAUUUCCUAUAAAUCUUACUCUUAUUAUUUCUUUCAUUAUUUAACUUAUACAACAUUACUAUUACUUAUCUUGAUGAAUCAAUGACUGUGACAUGCAACGAGACAACGUAACAAACGGACAUAGAUCCAGAGGAAGAUGAUAGAACAGACCUAAGUCCAACCUGGACGAGACUGAGAUUGUUAGCCUGGGAAAUGCAGAAAAUAUCAAAAAAACACGAAUCAACAUUCAUUUGUCACCAUCAUAAAAGAAAGAGCACAUAGAAUUUCUGAGAGAAUAUGAAGAUAUAUUCGUUUGGUUGUAUGAUGACAUGACUAUCUAAGCACGUCUAUGGUGGCACACAAAUUACCAACCGAUCCAACCUGUCUGCCGGUAAAAUAGAAGCCCAGAAAAUUCAAGUCAGAUAUGAGUUUGAAAAUCAAGGAAGAAGUCACUAAGCAGGUCAAAGCUAAAGUUCUCAGGGUAGUUGAAUAUCUGACAUGGUCAGCCGACAUUGUAUCGAUGCCAAAUAAAGGCAGGAAGAUUAGAGUCUGUUUCGACGACCGGGAUCUCAAACGGGCUAGUCCAAAAGAUGACUUCUCCUUUCCAAACAUACACAUCUUGAUUGACAACUGCACCAAGCAUUAGUUGUAGUAAUUUGUAGAUUAUCUCGCGGGGUAUCAUCAGAUUUGGGUGGAUGAAGAAGAUGCUGAGAAAAUGGAUUUCAUUAUGCCGUGGGGAUGUACUGUUAAAAGCUGAUGCCAUUCGGGUAAAAGAAUGUGGGGGCCACCUACAUAAGGUCCAUGACUACCAUUUUCCGCAAUAUGAUACAUAAGGAGAUCGAGGUAUAUGUGGAUGACGUCAUUAUCAAGUCUAAGAAAGCCACUAAUCAUAUGGAGGAUCUGAGGAAGUUUUUUUCAAUAGACUGAGAAGAUAUAACUUGAAACUGAAACCUGAAAAGUGUGCAUGUGGGGUUCCAGCCAGAAAAUUGCUUAGGUUUAUUGUGAGACGCUGGGGAAUAGAAUUGGAUCCAUCAAAGAUCAAAGCCAUACAAGAAUUACCACUGCCGAGGACCAAGAAAGACGUAAUGAGUUUCUUGGGGAGACUUAACUAUAUCAGUCAAUUCAUAGCACAAUCUACAGUUAUUUGUGAGACGAUCUUCAAGAUGUUGAAGAAAGAUACCUUUACCAAGUGGACCAAUGAAUGCCAGAAAGCUUUCGACAAAAUUAAGGAAUAUUUGUCAACACCACCAGUCUUAGUCCUGCUUGAACCAGGGAGACCUUUGUUACUCUACAUCGCAGUAUUGGAUGGUGCCUUCUGUUGCAUCCUGGGGUAGCAUGAUGAGACAGGAAAGAAAGAACAAGCCAUUACUACCUCAGCAAGAAGUUCACUCCAUACGAGGCCCGAUAUUCUCUGUUAGAACGCACUUGAUAUGCUCUAACUUGGGUAGACUAGAAGAUAAGGCACUACUUCUAUGCCUAUACUACAUAUCUCAAAUCAAGGAUGGACCCCUUGAAGUACAUCUUUUAGAAGCCUAUGCCCACUAGCAAGCUAGCCAAGUGGCAAAUCCUGUUGAGUGAAUUCGACAUUGUCUACGUGACUUAGAAAGCAAUCAAAUGACAAGUGUUGGCAGAUCACCUUUCUAAAAACCCUGCGGGUGGAGAAUACGAACCCCUGAAAAUAAAUUUUCCAGAUAAAGAGGUAUCAUUCAUAGGAGAAGAUAUUGCAGAAUCCUACGAUGGGUGGAGAAUGUUUUUCGAUGGAGCAGCAAAUUUCAAAGGAGUCGGCAUAGGAGCGGUCCUAGUAUCAGAAACUGGCCAACAUUAUCCACUGUCUGCUAAACUCAGGUUUCCUUGCACCAACAACAUAGCCGCGUAUCAAGCUUGCAUCUUAGGGCUCAAGAUGGCCAUUGGCAUAAAUGUCUAAGAAUUGUUAGUAAUUGGGGAUUCAGACUUGCUUAUACAUCAGUUCCGAGAAGAAUAAGCAACGAAGAACUCCAAGAUACUCCCUUAUCUGCACCAUGUGCAGGAGUUGAGGAAAAGGUUCACAAAGACAGAGUUCCAGCAAGUUCCUAGAGUCCAGAAUGAAUUCGUCAAUGCAUUGGCUGCCCUAUCGUCCAUGAUACAGCAUCCAGAUACAGACUUCAUUGAUCCCAUUCCGGUGAAAAUCCAUAAUCGACCAGCUUACUAUGCUCAUGUUGAAGAAGAAGCAGACGGAAAACCUUGGUUUCAUGAUAUCAAAGAAUACUUGGUAAAAGAAGAAUAUUUGGAACUCACAAACCCUACUCAGAAGUGUACACUUCGAAGGUUGGCCAAUAAUUUAUUUAGUAGUGGAGGAAUCCUAUGUAGGAGGACUCCUGAUUUGUGAUUACUCAGGUGUGUCGACACAAAAGAAGCAUUCAGGCAACUAGAAGAAAUCCAUGUUGGGACCUGUGUUCCACAUAUGAUUGGUAUUGUCUUAGCCAAGAAAAUACUCCAGGCUGGUUAUUAUUUGAUGACUAUGGAAACAGACUACAUCUAGUACGUCCGAAAAUGCCAUCGUUGUUAGGUACAUGCAGACACGAUCAAGGUACUCCCAAACGAGCUUAAUGCAACAAGCUCACCAUGGCCGUUUGCUGCAUAGGGAAUGGAUGUUAUUGGACCAAUCGAACAUGCCGCUUCCAACAGACACAGAUCCAUUCUAGUAGAAAUCGACUAUUUCACCAAAUGGGUCAAAGCAGCAUCUUACAAAGAGGUGACUAAGAAAGUCGUGGCAGGUUUCAUCUGCGACCGUAUUGUUUGCUGAUUUGGGAUUCCGGAGUCAAUCAUUACUGAUAAUAGCUCCAACCUCAAAAGUGACUUAAUGAAAGCUAUGUGUGAGACCUUCAAGAUCAGACACAAGAAUUCUACAGCCUACAAAACUCAGAUGAAUGGAGCCGUAGAAGCCGUCAAUAAAAACAUUAAGAAGAUAUUGAGAAAAAUGAUAGAGAAGCAUAAGCAAUGGCGAAAAGUUAUCAUUCACUCUAUUAGGGUAUCACACCACAAUCCUCACAUCAACAUGGGCAACCUCCUACAUUUUGGUAUAUGGUACAGAAGCAGUCAUUUCGAAGUAGAUAUUCCUUCCUUGAUAAUCAUACAAGAAGCUUGACGACGCAGAGUGGGUAAAGAGUCGUUAUGAGUAGCUAGCUCUUAUAUAUGGAGAGAGAUUGAAUGUGAUUUGACACAUCCAGCUUUAUCAGAACAAAAUGACCAGAGCCUUCAACAAGAGUGUCAAACCAAUACGUUUCACACCAGGGCAACUGGUGUUAAAGAAAAUUUUCCCGCAUCAAGAUGAAGCCAAAGGGAAAUUCUCUCCCAAUUAGUAGGGUCCAUACAUGUUUCAUCGGGUUCUGAAAGGAGGAGCCCUCAUACUUGCAGAAAUGGAUGGAGAAGUUUGGCCAAAACCAAUUAACUCAGAUGUUGUCAAGCGUUACUAUGUGUAAUUUUUAUUCUUUCAUACAUGGUGUAAUUUGAACUACAUCUUACAUGAUUCCCAUUUUAGAGGGGAUACGUAGGCAACCCUGUGGGUUUGUUCACUAUUCAAUAAAAUUCUCAUUUCCCCCGGCAAUUGGAAACUGCGACAGAAUUUUGAGGAGGGCCCUCAAAAUUUCAAAGUAAUUACAGUCGAUCAUCACAAGGAACCGUCAGGAGUGGCAACCUAUUAAAUUGGGGCAAAAUUUUGAGGAGGACCCUCAAAAUUAUGAAGCAAGAGAGGUUGCAAUAUCCUGAACCACGUCAGAGUCAUCGGUUCAUCCAAAAACUAUUUCUUAAAUAUAUACUAUUAUUAUACUUUUCUUUACAAACUCAUGCAUGUCUAUACUGUUUAGCAACGCUACCCCAAUGAUACCUCUUAUAUCAUCAGAUCAAAGCCAAACGGAGCAAGCAAAGUUGGUAGGGACACAAACUAACCUUUCCCCUUUACAGAACUCACAAUUUUCUUUGAAUAUAGGCACUCAAGUCAUAAAAUCCUAUCAUACGUACUCUUCAGGAAUGCAACUCUCAGAGCCGUCACAAUAAUUUGCAGUCGCUAUCCAUACACAGUAUCCCCUGCAGCCGCAAUAUCACUAUCAACUAUCAACUAAGAAUUUUAUUUCUCUUCGCCUUUUAUCCCUUGCAUAAGGCUAUUAUUCUGCCUUCCGAGACUAAGCUUUGUCUCCAUCUGCAUUUCUUGCAUUACAUAAGGCUACUAUUAUGCCAUCCAAGACUAAGCUCUAUCUCUACCUGGAUUCUUGCAUUGCAUAUGGCUACCAUUUUGCCUUACGAAGUUAAGCUCUACCUCAAUCUGCAUUUCCUGCAUUGCAAAGGCCACCAUUCUGCCUUCUGAGACUAAGCUCUAUCUCCACCUUCAUUAUUGCAUUUAAUAAGGCUACCAUUCUACCUUCCGAGGCUAAGCUCUAUUCUAUCUGUAUUUCCUGCAUUGUAUAAGACUACUAUUCUGCCUUCUGAGGUUAAGCUCUACCUCCAUCUGCAUGGCUGAAAUAUCACCGCUUUAUUUUUCACUUGCAUAGCUGAAAUAUCGCCCCUUCAUUUUGCACUCGUAUGGCUGAAAUAUCGCCACUUUAUUUUUCACUUGUAUCAGCUGAAAUACCGCCACCUUCAUUUACAUCUUGCAUGGCUCAAAUAUCGCUGCUUUUAUUUUUCACUUGCAUGGCUGAAAUAUCGCCACUUUAUUUUGCUUUGCAUGGGUGAACUAUCACUACUUUAUCGUAUUCCUUGUACGGCUGAAAUACCGCCACUUUCAUGUACAUCUUGCAUCGGAUAAAAUACCGCCACUUUCAUUUACAUCUUGCAUGGCUGAAAUAUCGCCGCUUUAUUUUGCACUUACAUGGCUGAAAUAUCACUACUUUCAUUUACAUUUUGCGUUGGAUGAAAGAUCUCCAUUUCAUUUACAUCUUGCAUAGACUAAAAUACUGCCACCUUCAUUUACAUCUUACAUCGGCUAAAAUAUCGCCAUUUACUGCAUUUUUCAUUGGCUAGAAGAUCGCCACCUCAUUUACAUUUUGCAUUGGCUGAAAGAUCGAUACCUCAUUUAUAUUUUACAUUGGCUGACAGAUCGUCACCUUCUGCAUCUCAUGUGCUGAAAGAUCUCCAAACUAUCCAAAGGCAUCAUUGUUCAAAGGCACCAUCUUCAUGGCCGAGAACGCCAUUCUAUGGCAUGAGGACCCAUUUAUCUCUUACAUAUCAUUAUUUAAAGACAGCAUAGCUCGAAGGCAUCAUCCUCAUUGACCGAGAGUAUAAUUUCAUGGCCUCUGAAUCCUUUAUUAUACACUUUAUAGCCCAGGAUAUCAUGGUCUAAAGACGUCAUCCUAACCAUCUGAAGACAACAUUCAUAGUCCAACGGGAAAUUGCGUCAUGUUUAAAUUUAUGCACAGUAUGUGUUUGUAUUGCUUAUUUGCAGGAAAACCGGCAAACAAUGACCUUCUUAGCAUUAGCAAUCCCUCUAUAGUUCCCGUGGCUCUAUUAGACUUUAACCACCCAUCCCAACCUAAACAUUGCGUCCGUUCUUGGAAAAAAUUCAAGUGGCAUACUCCGCCGACAUAUCCUGAACUACAUAUAGCUUGAUUCUUGUAGGACCAAGGAUAUGUAGGCACCUCAGGAACUAGAGCACGGUCAACCUUUUUAAACCAUUUUACCCGGUCAAAAAUUGGCCAUCAUAUCUUUACCCGACAACUCUUUCAUCCUUUCCCGGUAAAGAGUGAAAGCUGUUGAUACCUAUUUUUUUGUAUAUUUUUAUAUGUAAAAUACUUUCAAAAUAGCAUAUAUAUGAAUAUAUAUGCAUGUCCAAGUGUUUUAUUAUUUUAUCCAAUUUAUUAAAAAAAUUAAACCAAUUUAUUGCGCUAUUUUAACAGUACAAAAAUCAAUAAUUGUUCCCCAAAUUAUCAUUUUGAUGAUUAAAUUAUUUUAUUCUCAUUUUUGUGCCAAUAAUUAUAAAUUGAUUUGAUAUUUUAAAAGCUAAAUUCCAACUUUAGCCUAUUUUAAGAUUUAAUUGCAUUUAUAAUUAAAAAAAUUGAUUCUAAUAUUUAAGUAUAAUCUCUAUAUAUUAUUAGUUAAUUUAUAACCUUUAAUUUGUUUUCAGAAAUCAUUUUACUAUUUUUUAUAAAAUAAAAAGGGAAAAGUGGCUAUUGAAAUACUAGCCUUAUUUCAUUUCAAUUGUAGCCCAAUUUGACCAUUCCAAAUAAACCAAUUUAACAUUCAAAAUUAUUUGGUCCAAUUGCAAUUUAACCCACUCCUGACCCGCCUAUCCAACCGCCCGACUCUCUCUUUUGAUCUAGGCCAUGAUCCCUCCAUUCCUUGUUAAUUUUCGAAACCCCCCGACCAUAAAAUCAUUUCACUUAUUCAGCCGCCUCUAAACACCCAUUUCUCUCAAACUUUCUCGAAUAUCCCUGGAACCAUAAUCGUCUCCUACCAUAUCCCAUCGGAAGCCCACAGGAAACCAUGGCUUCUCCGGCCAUGGGAGUCUUAUAUUCACCUCAUAUUGCUCCUGUGUGCUUGAUACCUGAAGAUUCGAGGUCUGGCCUUGAAGGUUUUCAUCCAGACCUUUACCGCUCGAGUUUUCACGGCUAUCUCCGACCUUGCUUCAGCGUAUCGUGGUUUUCUGAGCCUAGUUCUAAUUUCUCCGACUCCGAUCGGUGACCUUUUCGAAGCCUUUCUCAUUAUAGGGUUCUUCUAAAACCCUUCAAGGUUUUCUUCUCCGGUCUUCUUAAAUCUGUUAUGUGUCUAUGCUUUACUUGAGUUUUCAAACGGUUUUCCUAGCUUUGCUUUCAAAAAUUACUUUCAAAACCGCUUCUUUUCUAUCUAGGGUUUUCUGAAAUGUUCAAGUAUUUUUAUGAUUUUUUCUUUGUUAUUCGUGUGUUUUCCUCUACUGUUUCUUGUAUCAUUUUUUUGUGUUUGUAUCACCAUGUUUUCCUAUACUGCAGUCUUGUAGACUUCUCUACUAUAUUUUUACCAUAUUCUUAUACAUUUAUCUUACUAUGUUUACCUAUAUGCUUUUUUGCUACUUUUCUAGCGUUCUUCUACUGUAUUUUCUUGCUAAGUUUUUAAGUUUGUUUGUUUGCCUUCUACUGAGCCCCAUUUAAGUUUCUUCUAAUCAUGCUUUUUCUAUUGUUCGUAUCAGUAUUUGCCAUUAUGUUAUUUGAAUCCUUUUACUGUGAUUGCAUGUUACGUUGCUAUCAUAUUCUUCAUAAGUUCUGUUGUUGAAGAAGCCUUUCCUUUUCUGAAACUUCUAAACAUGAUUUUGAUUCAAUUGUCUGUCCUCUCAUCUUUGCUUUAUGGUUUUCUUGAACUAGGGUUUCAUUUCGAAACCCCUAACUCUGUCAUACUAACUUUGAGUCUCUGAACUGAGUUUACACCAUUGUUUUUAUACAAUGUCGAACCUUUUGCUAAACUCUUCUAUACUGGAUUCUUUCUACUGAUUUUUUACAAAGGGCAUGACAAAGUUUCUUUCAUGUUUAACGUGUGUGUAUGCUUUUAUAUAUGAAGAAUCGUUCUUCGAAAAAUGUUUUCAAACUUGUGAUUGAUUCAGAAAUCCUUUUAAAUAGGUCUAAUUGAUUUGUUUGCUGAUUUUCCUUAAGUUAAAAAUCUUUCCCAUCUUUUUGAAUUGGUUCAUUCAUACUAAAUCUAUGGCCUCAGAUUUCUUGGCUGUUAAUUGAUUUAUAAUUAGUCUUCAACUAUUUUCUUACGUUAUUUUCUCAUGACUUUCACACUAUAAAUACAUGAAUCUUUUCUUUCACACUACACAUGAUUUUAAUAAUCCUCCACUACUACAAUUCACAAUUCUUCUGAACUCUUACUCUCACAUAAGAGAACUCUCUCUUGUCAGCACCUUGACUUUCACAAGACCACUACUUUACCUAUUUGUUUCUUGAAAUUGGUAUGUACUAAUUCUAAUUAACAGUAUCACCACAAUGUGGUUACUUACAGCUUCUCACAUCUCUGUCUCUUUACUACUUCUGCAGAUUUAAAUACUUAAACUACAUUCUGACUUUUACAAGACUACUGCUUUUCCUAUUUGUUUCCUUGAAACUGAUACGUUCUAAUUCUAAUUAACAACAUCACUACAAUGUGUUUUACUUACAGCUUUCUACAUCUCUGUCUCUUUACUACUUCUGCAGAUUUAAAUACUUAAACUAGCAUGUUGAUUUCUUUUAUUUGUUCUGUUAUGAACUCCUCUUCCCUAUUCCCUCUAUGUGUUUUGGGUUACAGUUUAAACAUGGUAAUAUGCAAGUUAUUGUCUAUGGAUUAAACUUGAUUCCUUCGGGGAUCCUAACCUCUAAAACAAUAUGUUAUAGUAGGCUUAUGGGUGUGCCAGCAUCUCUCAUUGUUGGGUUAUGCCCACUAGCCUGCAUUUACUUCUCGCAAUUCCCAUCCCCAUAUGUGCUGUUUCAUUUUCCCUUUUCCCUUUUGGAAUUCUGCACUUACACUCUCUCUCUUAGUUCCUAAAUUCUGCCCUCCCCCCUCUUGUGAGCCUUGCCUUGGGACUUCCCUCUAAACUUGGACACCUGAGGGCUGACCCUUCCACACUGCACUUUGGCUUAAUAUGGUGAUACAUUUGGGUGUAAGGACUGUUCAGAAUCCUUAAGUAGCUCUUAGGGAACUCUGACACACCCAAGUGGUAGAAAGGCUUUGAACAUUAUUUGGAGUUGGUUUACUUCAUGAAUUAGACAAAAAGCUUGAAUCAUGCUUUCCUUGGUGGUAAUUUUCAAAUUUCUGAUGUAUUUUCUUUACUUUAUUUUUUCUUUGGACUGUAAUAACUUUGUAUAUCUUUGGGGGAUGAUUGCGAAAAGGGAGGGGUAAUUAUGCAUGUAUAUGGGUAGAUAACUUGCCUAUAGGGAUCUCUAAUUUCUACAUUUUUUCAUAUAGUUACCAUGCCUAUAAAACUCCUCCUUUUUUCAUAUAGUUACCAUGCCUAUAAGACUCAUGCAUUUUUAUAUAGUUACCAUGCCUGUAAGACUUAUGCAUUUUUAUAUAGUUACCAUACCUAUAAGACAUGCAUUUUUAAAUAGUAACCAUACCUACAAGACUUAUGCAUUUUAUAUAGUUACCAUGCCUAUAAGAUUUCUACAUCUCAUUUAGCUACCAUGUCUAUAAGAUUUAUGCAUCUCAUUUAGCCACCAUGCCGAUAGGGAUCCUGCACUUUCAUGUAGAUACUAUUUCUAUAGAUCCUGCACACGCACGUAAAGAAUAUGCCUAUAGGUCCUUUCUGAUUCUUGCACACCCGUUUUUCACUAGGCAAACUUGUCUAUAGGUCUUAAUAACAAAAAAUGUAAUCCGAUAGCACGCAACGUUUGGAUAAUCAUGAUCUAGAAUCUCCGCACUCUUCUAUGUCUAUUACAUUGUUUUUAAGUUGGUAAAUGCAUAGAAAUCAUGCCUAUAGGGGUUCUAAUUCAAAUCUGAAUAGCCUCACUCAUUUGCAAGUUUGAACUAUUAUUGCAUUAUCAAUUGCUGAACUUGUACUCCUUCUAUUAAACUAGCGACCUUUCUUUAAAUCAACGUGCAAUCAGUUCAUAUUCUUAUUUAUGAAAUAUGUAGAUAUCAUGCCUAUAGGUUUUCGUCUAUUACUUAGGCAAGCCUUGGGGUAAACUUAUAAACUGAAUCAAAUUUCUUUUUUAUUAUUAACUACAACCAGAAGGCAUACAUGAUCUAGGCUUCCUAUCUGAAUAUGUAAUAGAUUAGUCUGCCUCAAUCUUUAACUUUUAAUUAGACUUUAAACAAUACGUGUAAGAUAUGCUAAACUAUAUGAUUUCUCUGGUUUUAAAGGAGGCUUGUCUGAGCCUUGUUAUUUGUUUAUAUGCUCUCCCCCAAACUUGCUAUAUGUGUUUUGUUUGUCACCUUAGUAUUUUAAACCAUUCGAAACCGCAAAUAAGCCAAUGUAUCCUUCCUUUAGGAUUAGUAAUCUCAAAUACCUCCAAUAUUGAUAGAUCGGGAUGGGUAAUAGCAUGCAAUAGGUAAACGAGACCGUUCCGUCAUAACUUUAUCUUGUUGCAUGAGGUGGUCUAGAAUGGUCACUUGUUGUUCUUGCAAGACCUUUACCUUGUCGACAAUGUGUUCAUCCCUAGUGUCAUAGGGAGUUGUCUCCCAAACAUGUAGAGGAUAUUGCCUAUCAAGCACCGCUGUAGCAUCGUCCCUCUUGUAAUGGCGUCACUGAUUGAGUCUUCAAAAUGAGGUUGAUCCCCUCGAAUCUCGAGAUUGUGCGUGUUGUUAACUCCGUUAUCUGCCAUUUUUGUGAUUUUUUAUAAGACAAAAUAAUCAAACACACAUUACUAAAAAGGUACAUAUCAAUUUAAUUGAAUGGCUACCUAGGUCUCAUGGUGGGCGCCAAACUAUUUACCUGUAAAUGGUACACCUGAAUUUAUACAUAGUUUCUAGACAAAUGAAUCAAUUUGAUCCUUAAAUAAUAAGAUAUUUGAAGAAAUAUACAAUACUUAGUCUUUUGAUGGAGAUGAAACAACAUAAACACAAUGGUCCCAGGCGCAGAAAUAAUGAAAGAGAAAGGUAAGAAGAUGAAAUUGUAUUAAGAUUUGGAUAGAGUCUAGUAAAACUUUGCUAGAAAAUUUUAUUAUCAUUUACAAUGAUAGCUGCUCAUUAUUUAUAGCUACGUCUAGGAAAGGAGGUCCUAUGAUCGUGCCCCUCUUUAAUGUCAAUUAUGAGAGCCAUUGAUAAAGAUGUAAUGGUAAUCAUAAAUGCCAAAUUCCUUGUAACGGGCAAUCGUAUUUAGUGCCAUGGAAUAUUCCUUGUUAAAUGCUAGCAGGCAAGGAGUCUUACAUUCUUAUGAGCGUUAUUAUCCGUGGUGACAGACAAAACAUUUGCCUUCGAUCUUGGACAUUCCCCCGUCUUACAUUCCAUGUGUCCCUUUUUUGGAUGGCCAUGUGACAUAAUGUAUUUUACACUAUACAGAUUUAUCAGACCUCUGGUUUCUUGCCCACAUAAUAGAUAGAUUCAGGAUUCAUGGUACAUAUUUCACUUGUGUGACCUUCACCAUAUAACUCAAAACAAGUAGACAUCUGUUUCACAUGUUGCGUUUGGUGCAUUGUCAUUCUAUUCAUCUGAUUUUCUAAUUUCGCUAUAUCUGCUCUCAUGGCUGAGAAAUUAUCAAGCUCAAUUACACUUGUUGCCAUCUAUUUAAGUGCUAUUUAUGAUUCCUCAUCUCCUUGCCAAUUAUUAUCAUUAGCAAUGAAAUUGUUUAGCAGGAGCUAGAUUUCACUAUACGGCCUUGAAUACAACUAGCCCCACAAGCCGAGUCAAGAUUCAUCUUUGAUGUCUCGUUCAACCCAUAAAUGAAAGCAUGACCCAAAACCUCAUCAGUCUAACAAUGGUAUGGGCAGUCUCAGAGUAGCUUCUUGUAUCUUUCCUAAGCUUGACGAAGAGUCUCGCCAUCCCGUUGAACCCAAUAAUCUGGAUCUUCAACAACUUUGUUUUCUUAGUUGGACAAAAACUUGAUUAAGAAUUUUCAUGCUAGAUCUUCCCAAGUGUGGAUCAAGUUCGCGGAAUCCUUUUGCAACCAUUCGUUGGCUUCCCCGAGUAGUGAAAAGGGAAACAUUAUCAGCGUGGUGUAGUCCUUGAAAACAUUCGGAUAAUUGUAAGUAUUUAUAAUUUUUAGGAAGUUCUAUAUAUGUCGUUUGUGGAUCUUCAUGAGAUAGACCCACAUACUGUUAUGUGGACUGAAUCAACUGUACCAUGUACUGUUUAAGUUUAAAGUGACCCGUGAUAUUGGGAUUCACAAUAGCCUGAGUCAUAUUAGCAAGAUUAGGCCUUGCGGCUUCUAUCACUGGUUGCUCUUCAUUACCUGCCAUCUCUAAUGGUUGUGAUUGAACUACAAUGUACAACUCUCAUUCUGUUUUAGUUCUAGCUUCGAUUUCCCUCCUUACCCUAAGUGUUCGUUCUAUUUCAGGAUCAAGAGGAAGGACGUUGUUCGCAUUACUAUUCCUUCGGAUUCAAGAGAAUAGCAUGCGUUAACACAAAUAAAGCAAAUUGAAAAUUAAAACUUGACCAAAUAAUGAAUAAAAGCUUAACUCAGACAAAUAGCUAAUUUCUAAGUCCUUGAAAAGGGCGCCAAAAACUUAUUGCGACCAAACACACAUGCAAGUAUAUGUGAUCGUCAAGUAAUACAAUAUUGGGUAGAGUAUUGUUCUCACGGAUACUUAUGAUUAACUUUUGACAGAUUCAAACUCAAACAAAUUAUCUAUUCAAGAGAUUUUUCUCAAAAUGUGUAGGUGAUUAAUUAACAACCAAAGAUACUACUCCGGCAGUUAAAUAAACUAGAGAUUGAAUAAAACACAUACGCAAUUUCGAAAAAAAUCAAUAACAGAGGGUAUUCAAAGGUCAUAGGCUAGCUAACAAUCUUUUUCCGUUCUUGAGUUAAACUAACCAGUUGAUUUAUCUGGUUUGUUGAUUGACAGGGUUAAUGUUACUCAUAAGAAUUUGUCGAGUUCUUACUCGCCUAUUCAAAUUAACGUAAUGCUUAUAUGUCGAUGGAAUUAAUACUAAUAGAACGCAUUUACACGUCCUGUAUUUUAACCAAGCAAGACAAUUAGGUAAAUUUCUAUUAUAAUUGCGAAUCCGUUCCCCGAUGCUCGAGUUCAAGAACUUUCUAUAAUUAGUUCUAUAUGCAAUAUAGAAUUCUCACUUUUGAGUUCAACUCCAAAAUUCAUAGAUAAUAUUUCACUGUUAUCUACCAACAAAAUUAUUAAGAACAAAACUAAAUAAACAAACCAAUAUGAUAAAAUCAAAUUCGUCAAUUUAAACUUCAAACGUCAACAUUCAUGUAGUACCCAUAACCUAGAACAAAGGAGUUUAGCAACACAUAGUCAUGGUAGCAAUCUCAAGUAAUUCUUCGUAGUAUUACAUACAAAAGUCGUGGGUCAAAGUUUUCCUCUUCCUUUCCUUAAUCAGCUUCAGAGGUUGAUGCUGAGUUGGAUGCUUCGCGUUCUCCUCAACUUGAACUUCUCAGCAUUGUAUGUUAGUAGUGGAUGCUUUACAUCCACCCUAUGUUCCCUCAUCCUUGCGUAGCCCAGGCGCGAAUGCUAAGGUGGAUGCCUUUUUACGACUUCAGUGCUAAUGGUGAACCAAAUAGUCUUUUUUUUUCAAGGUUGGAUGUGACGCAUCGAACCUCUUCUAUUAUAGUUGGAGCAUAUUUUCUUCAUAUUUUUGCACUUCAACAUCCUAAUUUAUCACGCACAAAUUAAUUAGUCAUAAAAUCAAUAAUUAACACACGUUGGGUAUUAUUUAACACCAAAUAGCACCAAAAAGCGAUUAAACGCAUGUGCAAAGUAACAUUAAAACAUAUUAGAAAUAUGCCCCACAUAAACUUAGUUUACGAAUACAAUAUUUAUUACAAAACGAGCAACUUUAUCAAAUGAAUCUCAAGAAAGUAGGAGCAAGGGAAAGGAAAAAUAAUACAAUAUCUUGAUCACAAUAUACUGCUUAAAUAUUAAACGAAUUUGUAUCCUUAUGAAUAAAUUCUAAUACUUUUUCCGUUUCCAAAAAAUAGGCUAAAAAAAUAAGCCUAUUUUUUAAUGAUUUUUUUUUUCAAAUUUAGAAAGAAUAUAACUUUAAACCUUUUAUUUUGUCGUUGUUACUAUAAAAUGUAAAAUUUGUUAAGAAUAAUUCUAUUUAGAGUGAAUGUCUAUCUUUUAGAGAGUUUUACUUUGAGGCUAAGUCAUUUUUCNNNNNNNNNNNNNNNNNNNNNNNNNNNNNNNNNNNNNNNNNNNNNNNNNNNNNNNNNNNNNNNNNNNNNNNNNNNNNNNNNNNNNNNNNNNNNNNNNNNNNNNNNNNNNNNNNNNNNNNNNNNNNNNNNNNNNNNNNNNNNNNNNNNNNNNNNNNNNNNNNNNNNNNNNNNNNNNNNNNNNNNNNNNNNNNNNNNNNNNNNNNNNNNNNNNNNNNNNNNNNNNNNNNNNNNNNNNNNNNNNNNNNNNNNNNNNNNNNNNNNNNNNNNNNNNNNNNNNNNNNNNNNNNNNNNNNNNNNNNNNNNNNNNNNNNNNNNNNNNNNNNNNNNNNNNNNNNNNNNNNNNNNNNNNNNNNNNNNNNNNNNNNNNNNNNNNNNNNNNNNNNNNNNNNNNNNNNNNNNNNNNNNNNNNNNNNNNNNNNNNNNNNNNNNNNNNNNNNNNNNNNNNNNNNNNNNNNNNNNNNNNNNNNNNNNNNNNNNNNUCUUCUUUUAUUGUUUCAUAACACGUUAUCAGCACGAGACUCUACCGUCUCAAGAAGCUCUUUGAGAAGAUUAAGAUAGCUCUCAGCAGACUAAUGCCUAAGAGCUGGAACAGCCAAAUACAUAACAACAAACAACAACAACUAUUUUUGUCCCCUUGGAAUACAAUCGGCAAAGAUCGAUCUCCACCUCCCUCCAAAUCGGAAAAACCAGCAACACCCCAGAAUCUGGGAAGGAAACACAUAUACAAACAAAGAACGAAUGACCUCACUUCUCUCAAUUCCAAGAAAACAUCCUUCAGCCUUGGUUUUGAAAUCUUGGACCCUACCAAACUCGACCACCAACACCGCUUGAAACAGAGUAAAAGGCAGAAGAAAAACGGUCCGAAAAGCACCAUUCAAACAGAGCAAAUCGGAGGUGCCGACUCGAGGUUCGUUUUUGAAUUUUGUCAUGGUUCCGACGAGUUUUGAGGUUUGGAUCGUAGUUACGUCCAGAGGUCGUUGAGUUCAGUUCUUCUGGUUUUCAUCAUGAGACUCUAACCAAUUGGGUAGAAGCUUUGAGAUUGAGCAUAAUGAUUGUAAGUUGUUCCAUGAACUUCCUUCAUGAUUAAAAUUCUGGAUUUAAGGUAAGUAUUUUACUUUUCUCUUUCAAAUUCUUGAAAUUCUAUAAUUUGAUUUUAUAUACAAGCAAAAACAACAAAGUUUGAUUAGAUCUCUAAUGGAGUUUGUUAGAAAUUACACCACAUAAAGUGGUAAAAUUUCUAUGCCUUUUCAUGAUCAAAUUCAUAUAUGAUUGUGGGAAAAGAAAUAAAAACCCGUCCCAUUGAAUUUGCUCCAUUCUCAUCAUUUUAGAGAAUGUGAUAGCAGUAUGUGAUAAGUCCGAAAGAAGACAAAAUUAUUACCGUAAAGGUAUUCACUUUAGAGAAUGUGAUACCAGUAUGUGAUAAGUCUGAAAGAAGACAAAAUUAUUACCGUAAAGGUAUUAAUGUAUGUAGACGUGACAAUAGACGAAAUUAUAAUCGUCAUCAUUGUGAUAAUGAAGAUAAUAAGGAUUCUCAAAGUAAUCCUUCACUCUGUGAAAGUAAUAUUUGUCAUCAAUUUGACAAUAUGAGAUUUUAUAAAGCACAUAUAGAUGAUUAAGGUCCAUUCAUGAUGUGAAUGUGACAACAUCUAAUUUAUGAAUACAUAUUCAUACUAGGAAGAAUAUGAACGUGCCACUGGUAGUGAAUAUACCGUACUCACCUCUAGAAGGAGGUUUGAGGGAAAAUAAGAAAAUAAUGUCAUUAUUAUGGCAUGAAUNNNNNNNNNNNNNNNNNNNNNNNNNNNNNNNNNNNNNNNNNNNNNNNNNNNNNNNNNNNNNNNNNNNNNNNNNNNNNNNNNNNNNNNNNNNNNNNNNNNNNNNNNNNNNNNNNNNNNNNNNNNNNNNNNNNNNNNNNNNNNNNNNNNNNNNNNNNNNNNNNNNNNNNNNNNNNNNNNNNNNNNNNNNNNNNNNNNNNNAUAAUGGUACAACUUUCUCUUUAAAAGAAAUAUUCACUAUAUGGAUAUUGAUUAAUAUGUGAUAGUACCAAAUUAAUUGAGAACUCUGUAAGAGCCAAUAAUAUUAUUUUGGAGAAAUACAAUUGAUUACCAAUAAGGCAUUGUGUUGUAGUAAGUCUCAAAGAAACUUAUUCAGUUUUCAAAGUAUAUGCGAAAGCGGUUGAUUGUAUCGAGACUAUAAAUAAAGGAAAGCUUUGAUAUCUUCUAUUACUACAACUUGUGGUGGGACAAUAUGUAUGCGAAAAGCUACCCGCUUUAUUCUCCAGUUUGUACUACACAAACAACAUAAUGCCAUAAUAAAGUGGAUGUUUAUUGAUAUAAAAAAUCAUAUCAUAAUAAAUUCGGAGUUUAUUGAUAAUUGCACUAGUCAUGGUGUAAAUAUGAAGUUUAUCAAUAUUAAUAAUUUACUCAGUUGGCAUAAUCAGUUUAACCAUAUCAAUUUAAAUAUGAUAUGCAAAAAUAAUAGAGAAUUCACAUGGGUAAAUAUUAAAGANNNNNNNNNNNNNNNNNNNNNNNNNNNNNNNNNNNNNNNNNNNNNNNNNNNNNNNNNNNNNNNNNNNNNNNNNNNNNNNNNNNNNNNNNNNNNNNNNNAUAUUGCUUGUUCUCAUUAAUUAAUUGACCAACUAAAAUUGGGAUUGAAUCCCAUGAAUGCUGGAAAUAUCAAAGGUGAAUAUGGGCCCAUUCAUCUGGCAUGUAUACCACAUAAGAUGCAUAUAUGAGAUGGUUACAUGUGCGAUUAUUAUUAGCCCGCAACAUGGUAUUUUGCGAGGUAACUUGCUCAAUAAUUCAAUUUUGAGCACAAUUUCCAGAUUUUCUAUUCAAGAAGUUCAUGUUGAUAAGUUGGUUUACAUCAUACUUGGUUUAGCAAAAUAAUUUAUUGAGUGACUCCACUUAAUAGCUAAACUCUUGCUUACGAGAACAAAGUUAUCUAUAUCAGUUUGAUAUAGGUUAUAUACGAAAGUAUAUUACAUUCCUCCCUCACAAAUGGUUCAGGGUCACAUCUUAUUAUCAUUUAUGUGUGAUGUACAUUAUAAUUAACACCAUAACGCAUAAAUAUGAGUUCUCAAAGUUGAGGAAACAAGUUAUAGUUUCUAACAUGAGGGGGAGAUAUGAUAAACAAUUAAGAAAAGGCUACGUCGAAUGGAUUAUCAUUUCUAUAUCAAGAUCCUCGAAUAGGAUAAUAUGAACUUGAAGUUCAUAUAAAGAUAAUUCAUUUACAACAUAUUGCAAAGCAUGCCAUACGCAUUUAUUGACCCAAAGAAAGUAACUAUAUUCUCAUUGCAAAUGCUCAUAUUAAGUCCUAGAAGGNNNNNNNNNNNNNNNNNNNNNNNNNNNNNNNNNNNNNNNNNNNNNNNNNNNNNNNNNNNNNNNNNNNNNNNNNNNNNNNNNNNNNNNNNNNNNNNNNNNNNNNNNNNNNNNNNNNNNNNNNNNNNNNNNNNNNNNNNNNNNNNNNNNNNNNNNNNNNNNNNNNNNNNNNNNNNNNNNNNNNNNNNNNNNNNNNNNNNNNNNNNNNNNNNNNNNNNNNNNNNNNNNNNNNNNNNNNNNNNNNNNNNNNNNNNNNNNNNNNNNNNNNNNNNNNNNNNNNNNNNNNNNNNNNNNNNNNNNNNNNNNNNNNNNNNNNNNNNNNNNNNNNNNNNNNNNNNNNNNNNNNNNNNNNNNNNNNNNNNNNNNNNNNNNNNNNNNNNNNNNNNNNNNNNNNNNNNNNNNNNNNNNNNNNNNNNNNNNNNNNNNNNNNNNNNNNNNNNNNNNNNNNNNNNNNNNNNNNNNNNNNNNNNNNNNNNNNNNNNNNNNNNNNNNNNNNNNNNNNNNNNNNNNNNNNNNNNNNNNNNNNNNNNNNNNNNNNNNNNNNNNNNNNNNNNNNNNNNNNNNNNNNNNNNNNNNNNNNNNNNNNNNNNNNNNNNNNNNNNNNNNNNNNNNNNNNNNNNNNNNNNNNNNNNNNNNNNNNNNNNNNNNNNNNNNNNNNNNNNNNNNNNNNNNNNNNNNNNNNNNNNNNNNNNNNNNNNNNNNNNNNNNNNNNNNNNNNNNNNNNNNNNNNNNNNNNNNNNNNNNNNNNNNNNNNNNNNNNNNNNNNNNNNNNNNNNNNNNNNNNNNNNNNNNNNNNNNNNNNNNNNNNNNNNNNNNNNNNNNNNNNNNNNNNNNNNNNNNNNNNNNNNNNNNNNNNNCUAAAUAUGUGUACUCUUUUUCCUUUUCUAGAAUUUUUUUCCCACUGGGUUUUAUUUUAGUUAAGGUUUUAAUGAGACACAUUACUUAUUGAGUAGACAUCCAAGGGAGAGUGUUAAGAAUAUAAUUCUACUUAGAGUGAAUCUCUAUCACGUAGAGAGUUUUACUUUGAGGCUAAGUCAUUUUUCUCCUAUAAAUAAAGGGGUCUUACCCUACUGUAAAACACCCUCAAAUUUAAUAAAAAUUUCUCUCUAUUUCUCUGUAAUAUUGCUCUUGUUCUUUAAUUGUUUCAUAACAAAAUUUAUUUUUUUCCCUUAAACUUUGCACAGUCAAAUUGGUUCAAAUCAAAUGAAGCUUAUUUGACGACGAGGGCGUUGGGGGUUCUAAGCACAGACAUAUGUGACCCAAGGGAUAAAUAAAACUACUGGAAUGGCACGUGGACCACUUUACCAGACGUGGUAAAAGAAAGGGGCCAACUUGAAAUUUCGCGAAACUUUGUACGCCAGAAGUUCAAUCGUCUACCUUUCUCGGGCUUCCACUAAAAGAAAAGAACUUCAGGUUUUGCGGUUAUGGCGAUAUGCCUGCCAUGGCAUCCCUUACAGCCUUCUAAAACCCAAUGUCUCUUCCGUAUUCGCAACCCAGUACAUGUAGUCCCUAUUCGCCAAGUGGCCUAUGUACAUGCCUUCAGGCGCAGCGAGCCUUCUAAAACCCAACGUCUUUUCCGUAUUCGCAAUCCAGUACAUGUAGUCUCUAUUCGCCAAGUGGCCUAUGUACAUGCCUUCAGGCGCAGCGACUUUGAUGGAUUCGCGAGGCGCGCUAAAUCCGGCGAAGCGUGG